rnacentral:lncRNA from 1 species
AGAGUUGAAAAUAAAAAUAAAAAGUUAAUGCUCGUAUCAUAGUCAUCACACCCUCUCAACCUCCUUUAAUGAUUCUACUAUUAAAAUGUGCACCAUUUUUGUAACCAUUAUUCUUUCAUGCAGUUAUCAAAUAAAAAGAUAACCUAUUAGCUUAGAUAAAAGACAAAAUUCUUCGGAGAAUAACAGGAAAAGGCAUACAAAAUAGAACAAAAGGCAAACAGAAAAGACAUCUAAACCAACAAAAAGGAUCCAUACCUAAAAUAGUGACAAGGAACCAAUUUUUCAGUAUGGAAUCAUGUAAACUAGCAGAUUUAUUUAGCUAGUAGUAGAAAGACUAACCCCAGCUAAAAAGCGGUGAGAGAAUGAUUUUGGUUGCAAGGGUCGUGCUAAGCAGUCAUUCAGCUCCUGAAAUGAAAGCAAUAUAACUUGUACGGAAAAAAGGAACCAUACAGAAAAACAUACCCAUAAUAUUGAACUCACGAAGUAAAAUGUAUCUGAAUAGCAUUUAGUACUGUAUCCAAAUAGAUAAAAUUACUGCAAAACAAACCUGUUGGAGCUUCUUGAGAAGACCGGAAGUGAUUUUCUUCUGGUUGUAACUCUUUACUCUUUCUUCCUCAUUGUCACUGACCUCCAAUGCCACUUCCACAGAUUCAGCAUUCCUCUCUAACCAGUUCUUCUUGGCACUUUCCUGCAUAAAAUAAGACAAGUGAAACAGAUUCACAAUUCCUUUCAAAGCAGUUCUGCUCACCACCACACAUGCAAGAGUGAAUAACAAAUAGAAAGGCCAUAAAAAAGGAGAACAUAAAAUGUAACUAGAGGACAUUUCUAAGUUGAUGACCUUGCAAACUUAAGUAUUAUUACAAUUAUAAAAAUUUUGAGUAAUGAAGCAAAUAUACAAAUGGAAGAGUUACGAAUACUCAAGGAAAUAGUUGACUAUAAUAAUUUGACUUAAGCAGCUAAUUAUCUGUAUUGAAUGUGGGAUUGUGGGUUAGACCGCAACUGCAACCAUAUUAAGUGCCAAAAAAAAAAAAAAGUUUUGCAGAUUUUUGUUUUACCCAAUUAUAGAAGUUGAACUUGCAAAUGAAAGCCCAAUAGUUGCAUCUUGACCUACGAACAAAUUAGAUGUACAGGGAAAUGCAACAACUGGGAGAGUAAAUAUAACAUCAGGGUAACAGAUAAGCUCACCCACCACCAACCACUUGACAAAAAGAUUAAUUUCUCUACAGUGGGUUAAUCUCAUCAUACCACACAACCUCAUGGAAUUGCAAUGCAACUAUGGAACUGAACCAAAAAGUAAUAAUAGCAUCAGUCUCAACCAUACACAUCCAAAUAAGAUAUAUGCAGUUUAAAUGCCGUAUAUCCAACCACAUGGAUCUCUAAUCAUGUGGUAGUUACAAAUACAAAUGACCCCUAUAGUCUAUUUAUUUACUAGUACUCUACAUAGCUAAUUAUCAGUAUAAUCUCUCAAUAAAGAUGCAAAUGGAUCCGUGUUGGUGGAGCUCCGGCCCUGAUCCGCCCCAAUUGGGGCUGUAAACAGGAGGGCACAAAUGGAUUCGGGCAGUAAACGGAGCAGUUUUUGUGAUCCAAGGCGGAAGAGGAUUUGUAAACCCUAAUACUUUAUUCAUAUAUCAAAAGGUACCAUGCCCAAACCUAGCCGCCAAGCCAAGCCCACUCCUCUCUCUCUCGACCUCAAGCCUCUUUUUCCCUCCACUCCAACGCCCGGUGCCGAGGUACUCCCCUUUCCCCCUCCCCUCUGCCGCCCCUCCGCCCCUCUGCUACCCUCCUCCGCGCCCUUUCCCUACUCUCCAAUUCAUUCAUGUCCAUGCAUUAAGCAUUAGCUCAUAGUGUGCUACUAGUGUAUUCCAUUGGUACCCCAAGCAAGUAGAGGGAUGUUCCCAGGCCUGGUAUUUAGAGGUUACUAAACAACACAACUGCAGAGAAAGAAGUGAACAAACACAAACACAAAUUUGUCCAACCUAACAUACAUGCUUGACCAUGAACUUAGUGCCAUUUGAUUUUCUCAUAUGCAAAAGAACGCCACAAAUUGUUGAAGUUUUCUACAUUACAACCUUGGAUGUCAAAAAUUUACAGCACUUUAUCAUCAUUAAAGAGAACAGCAGCAAGGGCCUGUUUGUUUGCUCAUAACUGAUUUUCAGUUAAACGUAACUUUUGGUUGAAUUGAAGUUUAGGUAAAAAAUUAUUUUUCCACCACUGCUCGGUUGAUAGGAAGUCAAUGGCUUUGGAAAUAUAGUUCUCCAUUUUAUUUUUUUUUUGUUUUACUGAAAAUUUUCACAUUAGCACAUUACAGGAUAAAAAAUAGUUACAUAAUUUUUUAUUAAUUUUUUCUAUCUCUUUCUCUCCCUUAGUUGACUUUCCACCACCCAGGGCGAAGUCAAUUAUAGCAUUUUGGGAAAGUGGAAUUAGCGUAAAAUUUAAUUUUCAGCAAACCAAACAACGGAAGCAGGUAUUUAUAACAGAAAGCAACUUCACUUUCCUCCACUUGCAGUGAAAUAAACAUGCCCUAAUCCUUUUCCUAAGGCCUAUUUGUUUGCCUAGAAGUGAAAUUCAAGGAAAAUUUUGACUUUCAUUUGAACUAAAGUGCAGAUGAGAAUUACUUUUGCAUUGCUAUUUUGUUUGAUAGGAAGUUAAUAUACUCGAACACUAACCCAAUUCUGUUGUUUGUUUGAUAAAAAGUCAAUGAUGUAAAAACUUAGUUUCUCCGCUUCCUAUGUUUCACUGACAUUUGCUAAAUCCCAAUACCAAGAUUUUAAGUGCCUAUUGGCAUGAGCCAUGCUCACCGUGUCAUACUAUGCUGACAAAAUAUCAACACAAAAAGACUCCCGUGCCGAUGGCACAGCUCAUCAUCCUCUUUUCUUUGAUAGCAAGUUGUUAUCUCAUAUAUCGCAAAAGAUCUGACAAAGAUAUAUAAUAAGCACUUAGAACAUAUUGCUACCAAAGAAAAUAAAUAUUUUAUAUUAUAGUGUAUCAGCACAUGUCUUUUUAUGACUGAUACACAUCAGCACAACAUGGCACAAAGCAUACCAUGCCAUACCGUGCCAGCAAAUUCUUGACAUGACCCCGUCCACGAUACUUAGAUUCUUGCCCAAUACCUCCUGAAGUAAUGGUAAACUUACCUCCUAUAUGACUUGGUAUUGUUGGUAAACUUAUCUCUCAUAUAAAUCUAUAUAUAAUAAAUUCAAGUAUGAAAAAUAGAAGAAAAUAGUAUAUUUGUAUCCCCAGGUAUUAUAAAUCCCAAUUUAAUCAAAAUAUGUAAUUUGGAAAUAGUUAAGUAAAGACGUAAUUUGAAACAACUUAAUUUUUUUUUUGGUACAUAAAUUGUGAAACAUUCUGAAAUUAAUUAGUCUCUAAAAUUAAGUUGAAAAUUUUAGUUAAAAAAUCUAAAACAGCACCUUGAACCUUUCGAUUAUUUAGAUUUAAGUGAUUUAUUUCAAAUUAAUUUGGAACUUUAUUAAAAGUUUAAUGAUAUUAUACGUUUUGUAACAAAUAAAAAUGUUAUUUGCGACACUUAAAUAGUAAAUAAAGUUUGUAAUUUUAAUUAAAUUCCUAAUUUAAGAUAAUAUAAAAAAGUAAGAAAUCUAAUUAGAUGGGCUACAAAAAAAUCUAAGAGACAUGAGUGGGAACAGUGUGAAAAGAAGUAUGUUAGUUCAUUUCUUUUUGGCUCUUUCCUCUUACCCGUAAUUGAUUUUGCUGCCAACCAGAGCAAAAUCACUUUAUGGCGUUUUGGGAAAGUGGAUUUAUAGGCAAAUCUAAUAUACAAUAAACCAAACAACGUAAGGAGGUAUUUACAGCUGAAAAUAACUUCACCCCCUCAACUUUCAGUGAAAUAAACAUACCAUAAGUGGCUAAUGAAUCUAUACACACACACACACACACACACAUAUAUAUAUAUACACAUAUAUACACACUCACACACAUAUAUAUAUACAUAUAUAGACACACACACAUAAAUAUGCAUACAUAUAUACAUACAUAUGUGUACACAUGUGUGUGUGUGUGUGUAUAUAUAUAUAUGCAUAUAUGUAUACAUAUGUAUGUAUAAACAUAUAUGUAUAUAUAUGUAUGUAUACACAUAUAUGUAUAUUUAUGUAUGUAUACACAUAUACGUAUAUAUAUGUAUGUACACACACACACACACACACACACACACACACACAUAUUUAUAGAGUGCGGCUACUAUACUCUUAUGAGUACGAUCGCCUUCGUACUCAUAAGUCGUUUUCGAUGACAGAGCUUCCGAAUCGACGAUCCAUACCGUUAAAUAUUUUCUAGAUUAUUUAAAACUUCUAGAAAUCAAAUUUCAUAAUUUUUCGACAUCAUUUACCUUACGAUCAAAAGCUCACAAAAUUGACAAUUUUUAAUGGCCGGUAUGGAAUACUUGCUAGUUUAACGGUCGAAAAGAAUCGGAAUAGGUUGAAUUUUUGAUAGAAAAUUCUAUUCACUACCUAGAUAAAGAUCAAUACUCCGAUCUUAAAUUGAAGGAUCCGAUCAUCCAUUUUUAAGACGUCGUUCGAUUUUGACCGUUCAUUUUAUGCCCGCUUGAUGGACAUUAUUAUGAUUUCAAAAAAUUACGAAAUUUAUUUUCUAGAAGUUUCAAAUACUCUAAAUCAUAUUUAANACUAGUAAUAAUAACUGGGCUUAAGCAUUUUGGCCCGGUGGUUGGGCCCAACGAGUUAUUGUUGCUAGUGGGCUGGGUCAUUACAUAUAUAUAUAUAUAUAUAUAUAUAUAGAGUCCGGCUACUAUACUCUUAUGAGUACGAUCGCCCUCAUACUCAUAAGUUGUUUUCGAUGAUAGAGCUUCCGAAUCGACGAUCCAUACCAUUAAACAUUAUCUCGAGCAUUUAAAACUUGUAGAAAUCAAAAUUUAUAAAUUUUCGACAUCAUUUACCUUAUAAUCAAAAGGUUACAAAAUUGACAAUUUUUAACGAUCGGUAUGGGAUACUUGCUAGUUUAACGGUGUAAAAAAAUCGGAAUCAGUUGAAUUUUUUAUAGAAAAUUCUAUUCACUACCUAAAUAAAGAUCAAUAACUCCGAUCUUAAAUUGAAGAAUCCGAUCAUCCAUUUUGAGGACGUCGUUCAAAUUUGACCAUUCAUUUUAUGCCCGCUUGAUGGACUUUAUUAUGAUUUCGAAAAAUUACGAAAUUUAUUCUUUAGAAGUUUUAAAUAUUCUAGAUCAUAUUUAACAGAGUGGAUCAUCGAUUUUGCAGCUUUAUCAUCGAAAGUAACUUAUGAGUACGAAGGGCCCAAUGCUCAUAAGAGUAUAGUAGCCCUACUAUAUAUAUACUAUAUAUAUAUAUAUAUAUAGUAGCCCUACUAUAUAUAUAUAUAUAUAUAUAGGGGGAGAGAGAGAGAGUCCGGCAACUAUACUAUGAUGACUACGAUCGCCUUUGUACUCAUAAGUCAUUUUCGAUGAUAGAGCUUCCAAAUCGAUAAUCCAUACCACUAAACAUGAUUUAGAGCAUUUGAAACUUCUAGAAACCAAAUUUCUUAAUUUUUCGACAUUAUUUACCUUACGAUCAAAAGAUCUCAUAAUUGACAGUUUUUAAUAGAAGGUAUGGGAUGCUUGUUCAUUUAACAGGAUAAAAGAAUCGUAAUCGAUUGAAUUUUUUAUAGAAAAUUCUAUGGACUAUCUAGAAGAAGAUCAAUAACUCCUAUCUUUUUUAGUUUCUAGGUGCUUCAAAUGUUCUAGAUCAUGUUUAACAGUAUGGAUCGUCGAUCGGGAUCUCUAUGAUCGAAAACGACUUAUAAAUAUGGAAAUCUCUGUACUCAUAAGAGUAUAAUAGGGCUAUAACACUCUUAUGAGUACGGAGGCCUACGUACUCAUAAAGUUAUUUUCGAUGAUAGAGAUUCCGAAUUGAAGAUCCAUACCAUUAAACAUGAUCUAGAGCAUUUGAAGUAUCUAGAAACCGAAUUUUAUAAUUUUUUGAAUUUAUAAUAAAGUCUAUCAAGCGGCUAUAAAUUAACGGUCAAAAUUGAACGAUCUCCUAAAAACAGGGAUAGGGUUCUUAAAUUCAAGAUCAGAGUUAUUGAUCUUGAUUUAUAUAGUGAAUAGAAUUUUCUAUCAAAAAUUCAACCAAUUUCGAUUCUUCUACACCGUUAACUAGGAAACGUCCCAUACUGACCGUUAAAAAUGUGAAUUUUACAUUUUUAAGGCCCUUUGAUCGUAAGGUAUAUAAUGUCAAAAAAUUAUAAAAUUCAAUUUCUAAAAUGUUUAAAUGCACUAAAUUAUAUUUAACGAUAUGGAUCGUCGAUUCAGAAGCUUCAACAUCGAAAAUGAUUUAUGAGUACGAAGGCGAUCGUACACAUAAUAGUAUAGUUGCCGCACUCAUAUAUAUAUAUAUAUAUAUAUAUAUAUAUAUAUAUAUAUAUAUGAGAGAAAGAGAGAAAGAGAGAAAGAGUCCGGCCAUGGUGCUUUUAAAAGCACUAAGCACUUGGUGCUUGUAAGUUUUCUACCGUUAGAUCUACCUCUUUGACCAUUUCCACCCGUUAGAUCAUACUAUUCAACCAACUACCCACUCAACCCUAGGGGACCACUAUCAUCCUAACCGCACAUCUCUUAAUUUAAAGGCCUAAAACCUACAAGCACCAAUGAUUUGGUACUUUUAAAAGCCUAGGAGCUCAAUUCUAUAUGUAUAUAUAUUGCUUUUCUCACUAGCUAAAGAGAUAUUAAACAAACAACAAAGGUACUUGCCUGCGAGUUUUUCCUUAUGAUCUUGUCAAUUCGGCGAGCAAGAGAUAGUCGCUUCAUUACUUCAGGCAUGUAAGCAUCAUCUAUAGGAAAUUGACGAAGUGUUUCCUGCAAUAUUAUAAAAUCAAAUGAACUAUGAAAUAUCUUUAUCCAUUAUCAGGAUAAUUGAAAGUAAUCAGUGAAGUGGAGCCACAAGUGAUAACCGUAUAUAGUAUACAUGUAAAACAAACAAAAGCAGCUCUGAACAGUUCACUCUAUGAAUUGGCUCAGCAAUCACAAAUAUUUAUUCUCACAACUGCAUCAUUAGACCAAAAUUCACACAAUUGCAUUAUUAGACCAUCAAAUAUAGGCAUUACUUAUGUACCAUGUCUUAGGAGGUCAUCAAAAAAAAUCAAAGAAAUUAUAGUCAUCCAAUAUAAAAAUGUUUAUGGCUGUUGUUAUCAAUGAAUGCCGGAUAGAUGGGCAAGUUCACUGGCCAAGCCAUUAAAUAAUAAAAAGAAACCAAUAGAAGCCAUUAAUGAAGGGUACAUUAUGGUUUAGCAAUGAAAAUUAACUUACCUUUGAUAAUGACUUGCAUAGAGAAUAGAAUUUGGUUUUGUCACUGGGAGAGAUUAGUGCAAUGCAGCAGCCAUCAGCAGAAGCACGUGCUGUCCUUCCACUUCUAUGGAUAUAAACCUUUGAAAAAUGUGAAUAUCAAAUUAAAGAGAUUCAGAGUACUUGAUUUAAAUGCAUUAUAAACCACUUACUUCUGCUGAGUGCGGCAAUUGAUAAUGAACAACAGUUCGGACAUGAGGAAUGUCGAGGCCCCUCGCAGCAACAUCAGUAGCCACUAAGACUCCAUUCUCAUUUCCACGGAAACGAUCAAUAGCCUGAUUAAGUAUACGAAAUGAUUAGAGCAUUAAAGUUAUAAAGAUAGUAAUUAAAAAAAAAAGACUAAAUUAAGUAGCUACAACACUCUUACAUCAAUGAGUGAGAAAAUGCAAAAUGGAUGGCUGCUAGCAAAACAGAAGAAUUUAUAUCCCGCUUCAAUGAUUUUUAACUAGGAAUUUCAAACAAUUCAAAGUAAAUUUUGUGUUCACAUAUUCUAUUAACAUCUUGAACACCUACUUUAAGAUGCAAUUCAUAUCAAUACCUUUAGGCUUUAGCUAGUACAUUUCUGUCAAAUUGCCAAUGAAAUUCUAUUAAGAUCUUAUUAGAUGUAAAAGAGAGCUCGAAUAAACUCAAAAAAAAGAUGUAAGAAAACUACUAGCAAUCUUGAAGUAUCAAAUUCAAGCUAGACCAUCAAAUAGAAAUUCCUAGGGCAGGAGUUACAUGUAUAAUUUAUUUUUACAAAUUACAACAAAUAUUUCCAUAUACAAAGUAAAGGGACAGUUCACAUUUUAUGAGUUUACGCAUACUAUUCAUCACUUCAAAUUAGUGUCCUGUUGCUGCUUAUGAAAGGAUAUAUUAGCAAGAUUAUGAUCACACAUGGCAUAUAUACUAUCACCUUCCAAAUUCUUGCAAGUCCAAUCACCAAGACCCUAAAUGCAAUAAAUAAAUGCUUCAAUAUUUAAGUCCUGUUGCCAUAAAAAAGAGCAAGCUAGCCAAAGAGGUUUCCAUUGGUUAGAAGGUCAUGUGACUCAUAUAUGUCCUAAUAAUAUCCACAUACCAAAAUGAAAGUAGUCAUGCCCAGGAACUCAAACCAGACCUAACAUGGAAUCAGAUCUAAAUAAGAAGUAUCAAAAUUUAGAAUCUACUUGUACCAGGAACGAGUAUAAAUAAUAGGUCUAAAUCAUGGAUUGAAUUGCUCCAUCAUGCCCUGGUUAGCCAUCAGCAGAAUAAUAACUAAAUAACUCCCAACAAUGACAAUUGAGAAGUAAAUCCUCUACGCAAAAUGACAUACAAGUAGUGAUCGAUCACCUUUAAGCGCGCUCUUUGCUGCAUUUGGGCAUGAAGAGUCCAAGAAGUAAUGUCAAGAAUGCGCAGCAAGGAAGAAAUGUGACGUAAAGCUGCGAUCGAUGUGCAGAAGACCAUUGUACGACCUUGGCCAUGAACACUUAACAUAUAAUACAAAUAUGCAUCUUUAUCCUCUUCGCCACACCUAUAAAUGUCAGCAAAUAGUAGCAAUGGCUAGUCUUAAGUUUUUUUAAAAAAGUACAUGCAACAGCAAGUAGCUAAAUAAAAGUAACAGCAAAUGUUCAAAUUAAUACAGGCCUCAAGGGUUGAUGCACCAUAAUUUUCGAAAAUAGAUAUAUCAAGUUCUUUCUUUAAAACGGUUAAGCCCGUUCUAUUCAACAUAGAUAAACUAGUUUCAAUACCAACCAGAUAAAUCAGCUUGGACACAGCAAUUUCGUCUCAAAAGAAGAUAGAUACAAUACAUGCAUUAAUUUCGGCUCAUAAGUCCCAUAAUUGCUUGAGCUUCUUAAAUAACUGAUAACUCAGCAUUCCCUGCAUAAAUGCAGAAUACUUGUACUAUUCUAAGAAAUACUGAAUAACGAUUUUACAUUCAAAGCAGUGUUUGAAAAGGCGCAAGGCGCAAAAAGGCGCAAAGGCCUUAUGGAGCCUAGGCACGAGGCGCACCGCGAGGCGCGCCUCAAGAAGGUAAGGCGCAUAUCUAAUAAAAAUAAAACACUCUUAACAAGCCUAUUUUAAAUGGAUGUUUUAUGUUAAAAAAUUCUAAAAUAGUAAUACAAAAACAAAAUAACCAUAAAAAAGUAAAGAAAUCGCAUGCAUAAAUGUUCUCAGCCUAAAAAUAAAAAAACUAUGUUUCAACUUAAAAGUGCUUGCUGCUUCUUGCUUCUUGCCGCUACUACUUAUUGCCAUUGGGGGGUGGAAAACAGAACGACCAAGAGAAAAGGAAAAGAAAACGUCCAAAUUAGGAAAUUUUUUUAAAAAAAUUUCUUAACACUUUAAAAUAUAUUGAAGGAACUCAAAACCGAAAACCCAAACCCUUGACACAUUAAGCGUAAAUAUCACAAGGCGCGUCUGAGGCGUGUGCCUUAGUCCUUAAGGCACUAAGACUCGCGCCUCGCGUCUAGACGCUGAGGCGCGCCUUUUCAAACACAGAUUCAAAGAGAAAACAGAAAGGACAUGCCACUGCAAGAAACACACAGUCACUAGUUCAUGUUCCAAAGAGCUAUUUGAAUGCUCAAGGAUCACAAGACUUGUUUUUCAGCUUAUAUAUCUUGUAGGAUAAAAAGUAACACUAUUUGGGCAAAACAUAGAAGUACGGGAUGCAUGUAUGUUCUCAAGGAAAAGAAAAACAAAAAGCCCUAGAAUAUAGAGCCACAGCUGUAAUAUGAACUAAAACAGAUGAUGAUCUAAUUUGGUACAAUAUUCAAAGAACUGAGAUUAGAGAUAGCCUCAGAGCCUACUUUGAAGUACAAACAGUCCCCAAAAACCAUUUCUUUUUCUUUUUUCUUUUUUCCUUCGGUGAUUGACACUCCCUCAACUUUGAUUCGAGUUACUUUCAUUAGUUGGUUUAAGUGUUCCUGUAAAGACUAACAACAUUUUAGAUAUUAGCCACAAACUGUGAAAAAGAAACCUACGGAUCUAUUUUGCCGCAAAAUCGGUUAGAACCAUUAAAUAUUGACAGGACUUCGACUCAACCAACAACUUGAAUGAAAAGAAGCACAAGUUGAGGAAGCGUCAAUCAAAAUUGUAGGGGUCUAUUACAAAACCUUAACAGUUAGGGUGGUCUCCACAACAUCUUUCACUAUAUUAUCCACUGACAUAGGAAAAGUCAUUCUAUAAAAGUCAUUAAUGUUAGAAGGCACUUCGAGAAUAGGAAAGGAACAAGGGAUUGCGAGGUAAAGAUUACUCAAUGAAGGAUUGUUCAAGUUUAUUAGCCACAAUCGCAGCAUUCGUCAAAUCAACAAUUGCAGCAUCAGGUCUCAUUCCAGCUCGCUCCGAAAGCGUUUCUAUGGAACUCAAACUGCCUGGCAUGGACAACUUUGAAGUAGAUAAGCCACGUUUAAGCUUUUUACGGAAAUUAUCAGAUAACGCAAUCGUAGCAGAGAACACAAAUGUUUGCCUUUUCUUCCGUUGCAAAAUUGGCAUGGUUUCACAAUUUGGAGUACUUUGUACGGAUUGUUUGCCAGAGCUGUUAAUCACUGGGAGCAUGUCGAUGAUAGAUUGUAAUUCAUGAAAAUGACCAUAUUCUAUCAUUCUAUCAGCCUCAUCCAGCACUAAGAAAGACAAUGAGUGCAGCUGCAUCAAACAAGUAGAAAAAGAGUUAAUAAGAAUUUUUAAUGUUUGUACAAAAUGCCUAUUAAAUAAUUGGUUGUUUGCAUACAUAUCUCCUUGGUAAUUGCAUGCUUGCACUAAAAACCUUUAUUAUUAGUGUGUGCACCCCAGCAGGGGCAAGUGUGUGCAAAAACAACUACUGCAUACGAAAAUAGUGUGAAUACAAAUAAUUAUGGUUUUCAGAGCCACGAAGACAAAUCCUAAUUUUGCAAGGGUAUUUGCAAUAUUUCAUGUAUGUUACAUUAGCAAUUAGCUUCAAAACCCAUCACAUAAUACUGCAAUAGAAAGUUCCGAGUAUUAUAGCGAAGAGAAAUUGAUUCCAUUGAAUUUUUGAAGCCUACAGGUAUCCUAGAACAUUACAAGUCAACAACUUGAAGUGAAGGAUAGACAUUCUCAAAAUUUAUGAAAUUUGUUGCAAGUUCAAAUGCACUCAUCUUAAACAAUUCAACAAUGCUAGAUAGACAUAAGUGAUGGUAGAAUCAAAUAAUCCAACUGCUUUUGUGUGCAGUAGAAACAGAAGCACAAAAUUAGCUUCUACUUUUGUUGCUCGAAAGCUCAUUUCAAUUUCCCAACACAGCAGGAGGUCCAAACCUUUCAAUUUGCCAAACGUUUUACAAUAAGUAGCUAUAAUUGAAAGGCAGAAGCAGAAGCAGAAGCAGAAGCAAAAGCAAAGACCAAACUGACUCAUAGUAUGUCAAUCACCUUGUACCAUGGCUACAUUUUUAAAAGCCUAAUACACUCAAAUGCCCUAAUUGUCUGCCACAAGAAACAUUAAUGCAACUAAUAAUGAAGAAUAACAUGAAAACUUAUCGCUCAUGCUGACACACUGACCUCAGUAAGGUGUUGAUCUCCUGCUGACAUCAGCUCCCACAGUCUCCCUGGAGUUCCAACAAUAAUCUCAGGCCUUCUUUUCAAAAGCCUUUCUUGCUUUUCCAUAGACAUACCACCAACAAUUGGAACAACUUGAACGUCAAGAAACUUGGCUGCUUCGAUAAGAUGAUCACAAACCUAGAAUAAGAUAUUUCAGACAAUAAUGGUUGUAGACGUAAUUGAUACAUCUUCAGAAAUUUAAAUUCUAUAUGUGCAUAUUACUAUUGUUAACAUGCAAUAUCUAAUAAGAAAGAUUUAAUGAAUCAAGUCGACAAAAAAAAGUUGAGUGCAACCUAAAAUGGCAAAAUGGCUCUUAAGUUACAUAAUACAUAUUCUUCUUGCAAAUGGGGUCCAAAUAUGAACAGAUUUCACCUGGUUCAUAAAUGCAAACUUUACACUAGUGUUCUAAAAGAAAGAGAUAAGCCAAAAGAAAAGGAUAGUUCUGUCAAAUGUGCAACAUAUUGUUGCAAAUUCUUUUGAUGUUCAAAUUUUCUGAAUUAUCCGUGAAUCUCAAUGACCAAGAAAAAAAUUGGCAAUUGGUGUGGGAAAGAACCAUAGAAUAUCUGGAAUUACCGAGUUUUGUUGAAUUAUUCAUUCAAUUUUCAAAUAAGUCGUAUAUGUAUCACGAUCAAGGAUAUUUGAGAUUUUUUGCUUAAUGCGGAUUACCUGGAGAAAUAGCAAUAGAGCUUUUCCAAACAUUUGUAGAGAUAUCUUCUGAAACAUUUUUCAAAUCCAAAAGUUCAGUAUCUUCCUACGAAUUAGUGAAUCAGGCAGGGUUCUUUUGUGCCAUACUCCCAGGAAAAGCUCGAACGACCUUCGUGGCAGAAGUAUUUACUGGUUCCCUAGGAAAAUAUGUUGGUCUUGCAAAAACAAUUAGGGGGUUUCAACUGAUCCUUUCCGGAGAAUUAGAUGGUCUGCCCGAGCAGGCCUUUUAUUUGGUGGGUAACAUCGAUGAAGCUGAAGCGUCUAGAUUCCUUAAUUUCCUUCCAUAGGUUAGUUAGUCUUCUAAUCAAGUUAAUAACGUUUUAAACCAGGAUUUGUAGUUUAUAUUCACAAACCUUGUUGUUUGCGAGGCUUUCAAAUCCUAUCAUUGUGUAGUAAAGCACAUAGAAUGGAGUGACCAGUAAAUAAAAAAACAAAGAUUCACACUAGGAAACUAGGAUCAAUUUGUUAAUGAACCUUUAUAGAUAUUUAGGCAAGCAAUAUGAUAACAGAUACAGUGACUAUUUAGUAUUUAGUAUAGAGAUGAAAUGAUGAGCCACCAAAAGCUAAUCAGCUAAGAAUUGGCCAGCCCCACCUAGCAUGGUUGGAUGUAAAUCCUUGAUUACACAUUCUGUUUGAUACAUUUACCCAUUUUAUACUCGUACUUGUCAGGCCUCCAUUUCUAUAGCUCAGAUAUCAAAUUACGCAGAAAAUUACAAAAAAAAAAUCUUAUAUCAUGACCACAGAACUUUAUUCCCAUGAUUCAUUGUAUGCUAGGUUUACACAAACACAUAUAGGGGAAACAACAUGUGACAUGAUACGACUCAGAGCGAGCAAGUCACCAACUUUGCAAAAACAAGGACACCAGGAUAGCAAGGACACAACCAUAUAAAUGAAAUAGAUUAUAUGGAAGCAAUUAGAAGUGAGGGGUAUCAACCAAAAUAAAUAAAUAAAUAAAUAAAUAUAUAUAUAUAUAUAUAUAUAUUGAAGUUGGAGGAUCCAUUCCAAAAUGGCCUAUUGUUGAGGGGCCUCCAUAUAUUUUCACCUUUUAUUUAACUUAAGAGAGAGAAUAACGAGACUUAUUUGAAGAGAAUAAAAGAAAAGAUAAGGAGAAAGGUUAGAUGAUAUGUACUCAAUUUUUUUCAAAAUUACGUCAUACAUUAAGAGCAUAUUUGGUUUAUGAGUGGAAUCGAAAUUGGAAAUGGUAUUGGAUUGCAUUGGAACGGGAAAUGGAACGACGAAUUAUCGAAAAAUAUUUGGUUCAUUAUUGGAAUGGAAAUUGGAAUGGACAUGUAGAAUUUUAAGAAAGGGUUUUGGUUAAGAGAGAGGAGAGUGAUGAAGGGAGAGGAGGGGGAAGUGUUCGUAAGAGAGAGUUCUAAGUGGUUUACCAGGAAUGGGCCAAUCCGGGAUUCAAAACCGGAUCGAACCAUAAAUGCAUUCAGUCAUUCCUACCAAACAAACAACAACUAUCGGACAAUAAAUCUCAUUAUGAUUCCAUAGUCUAAAAUAGGUGAAUCAAACAAGCCCUAAAAUUACAUGAAUACAAUGAUAAUCUUCAAAAGAUUUACAUGGGAUUAAAGAAUCAAAUAUGAGAAUGAGAAAUUGGAUUGACCUUAUAAACGAGCACUAGAGAAACUUUAUGUCUGAGCCCUCAUCAUUCUUCCCUUAAUUUCAUUAAUUAUGAUCCAUGCAAUUGGGAUUUGAUCAUAAAACUAAGAGGCAAUUGGGAAGGAAAUCAUAAUAUCACUAUUUCUCACUUGGAUGCCUUCUUUCAUUAUUUCCCUAUUUGUAAGUUCCGAAAGUGGGAUAGAACAAGAGAAAGAGAUGCCUUCUUUCAUUAUUUCCCUAUUUGUAAGUUCCGAAAGUGGGAUAGAACAAGAGAAAGAGAGAAAUUAUCACGAGAAAUGGGAACAGAGGAAGGAGGACUUGAGGGCUUAUGGUCCACUAUUUUCUCUUAAAGUCAUUGUCGCACAGCGGAAACACAUUAGUGCAGCAUCCCAGCAUGGUACAUGCCAGAUACACGUCCAAUGCAGGAUAUGAGGCACCCCGAGCGGCGUCUUUGUUCCCUACUCCCUUGGAUUUUAUAAGGCUGAAAUCUGAGACCUUUUGUUGGCCAUCAACCAAAUUAAAACAUAAUUAUCUUAUCAAUUAACAGCAUGUAAAUAUUUACACAUUUAUUUAUUAGGAAUUUUAUCUCCUGAAACAAUACCCUUAUUAAUUUAAUGCCUUUGUUCUCAUGUAUCAAAACUACGUAACCUCAUAAGUUCUUCCUAUUAAGUACCUAGAAUUAUAGAAGCCCAACUAAUGAGAAUGAAGGACUCCCAUUUAUAAUACGUUUCAAAUAGUCACAGUAUUCAAAACUUGUUGACAUUUAUUUCAUGUCUGUAACAACCCACUCGGGAGAAAAAAGACGUAAGUGGACAUAAGUACAAAAUAAUGAUAACAUAAGGUUACAACUAUAGACAACAAAUGAGCAUAAAUUAGUAUUACAUGAUUUGUCAAUUAAGCCAAAUCCACUAGGUCAAUUAAAUCAAAUUUUAUGCUUUCUAAACACUAAUUACAUGACAAGAAAAUCUUGUUAUCAAGUGAGUCACAAGUACCUUCAAACACCAAGUUACAUAGUAACAAAUAUUAAAAACCUCGAUAUCAAAUGAGUUACAGGUACCUGCAAUGCAAGCUCUCUCGUAGGAGUCACAAUAAGAGCUCGAAGUGGGCCCCCCUUAAAUCUUUCCUCAGCCGAUUUUGCAUCUUCUUGGACUGAUCUUGCAACUUUUUCUCGUUCAUCGAGAAAGCGUUGUAGAAUAGGAAGCCCAAAGGCAAGCGUUUUACCAGAACCUGUCUCAGCCGCACCAAUGACAUCCUGCAGGGAUAGGACAGUGAGAAACACUGUAAGAACCACUAGCCAACAAAUGGUUUUGUUUCUUUUUUCAAUGUGUUAUACUCCUAAUCCAUAAUUGUUAGUUAUUACAGGAUGCAGACAAGGAUACGCUUUUUCUUUUAGAAGAAAUUAUUCACCAGACGUCAUCCACCAUGCUAGCCAUCAAGCGCACAGUUGAUAUUCCCUCAAUCCCAUUCCCAUUUUAAAUCUCGACCGCCGAGUGUGUUGCAUGCUCAACUAGAUUUAAAAUUUAUUCUCUUUAAAUGCUGUGGUGAUUGAAAGAAGAGGUGGAAGAGAAUGCCAAUCACUCGGCAGUCCAUAGAUAAAGUGAUGGACAGGUGCAGAAUUAAUUAUUUCUGUGUGAGAGAGGGAAACAGGAUGAAGCAGGUACACAAAAUUGGGAAUUUCCAGUCAUUAACCAAACGACCAGGCAUCCAUAUGUAGCUUUUCCUAGUGAACUCUAUAAUUACUCAAAUAACUGGCUUCAUUCUACAAGAGCAAGGCAUUCCCCAUCAACUCUUCUAUGACCAGAAAAAUGAGCAAGAAAAUGGUGAGUUAUAGCAAAUUUGUGAACAAUGAGCCACAGAACUUGAAAGGGAAAACAAAGGGAUAGAUGAGACCAUAUAGCAAGAGACCAACCUUCCCUUGAUGAGCAGCAGCAGGAAUGCAGGCCUUCUGGAUGGGUGUCGGUUCGCUGAAUCCAAGCCUACGAAUCGAUUUAAUCAGAAGAGGAUGGAGCCUCAACUCUUUCCAUGCAUAAACUUCAUCCUCUCUGAGAAGCAGCUCCUCACGAACAUCACCUUUCAUAUCAUUACGCACCUCUAGCAACAGUUUAGCUUAAACUACAUUAAUAAUUGCUGAUUUGUAAAUAAUAUGGUUCGUAACUGAGCAAUGCAAGAGAUGCAUCAAAUUGACUGAUACAUGAAUUCAUUAAAUAUCCAUGAGAAUACUAGAAAAUUGCUUCAUGGAAAGGCAGUACCGACGAGUCCUUUUAAUAUCAGAAUAUUUACUACAGAGAUUAUAACAACGAAAAGAAUAAAUUUUGUAUAUAUAUCUAUGUCUAUGAACCGUGAACCGAAAACCCUAGACCUGGGAUACACAUAGUAGGGAGUAGCAGCAUCAAUACUACACAAUAAGAAACAAGAUAAACAACAACAGGGAUUAACAGAUAUACCUUCUACUUUACCCUCCUCCACAAGCCCAUCUUUGUUCUCUCCAUUCUCACUGGCCUCCACCUGAUUACUCUUCUUCUUAUUUCUGCUAUUCUUCUUCUUCUUCUUCUUCAUCGGUCGCUUCUUCUCCGUCUCCUUCUCCCCUCCGUCAUCGUCUUCGACAGCAGAGGACUCGCUUUCGCCUCCUCGCUUCCUCUUCUUCGGCUCGAAAGAAGAAGAGGCGUUCUUCUUAUCCCUCUUCUUGUUCUUCUUGUUCUCCUCUCCGCCCAAUGGCUCAAAGGCUCCCCCAAUGAACGCAUACUGCGACUCGUCGAUCUCUUCCAAGGAAACAAAACCUGUCCAGAUUACGAGCGACAAAGGGAGAAAGAAAUUAAGGGGAAAAAAGACGGGAGAAGCGAAGGAUUGGAGGAGAUGAGGAGGAGGGAAUACUGAAGAUGUUACCUCCUUCUUUGCCUCUGGCGAGGACGAGGAAGGGGUCGUCGGAAGGCGGCGGAAGAGGCCGUGAUGGGUCGGCCAUCAAGAAAGAGGAGAGGGGGGUGAUGGCGGUACAACGGUCCGUGCCGACCGCCGGGAAGUAGAAACGCGGCUAUUAAACUUCCAAUUGCAACCUAGGGCUUGUUUGUUCGGCUGAGAGUGGACCGGUGUAAAGCCGUUUCGGCCGUGAAUAAUCAACCUACUGUUUGAUUCGAAACAGCGUAAGAAUCUAAGUCAAUUACUAUAAAAAAAAAUAUUAAAAAAUCAUAUAAUAAUAUAAUUGAAGAUAAUAAUAUUAUUUAUAUUUAAAUAUAUUUAAUUAUUGUACUAAUUACUCUUUUGUUUAGUUUAUAUUUAAGGGAUUUAUUUUAUAGAUAGAUAGAUAGAUACUACACUGUACUUAUAGAUUUUUUAUACUUUUCAUAUUGUACUUUUUUUUUCUAAAAAUACUAUUCAACUGUCUUUUUUUAUUGUCCAUCCCUACACUAUAAAUAAUAAAUCUAUAACUUUGAGCGAAAACUAUUAAAAACUAUUAAUUAAAAGUUGCAGAGUAAUUAAUAUUCAACUUAUUUUCAAACAAAAAAUAUAUAAAAUAUAUAAAAUAAUAAAAGAAUAAUUAAAAAUAACUUUAUAGAAGAUUUGAGUGGAUCUAUCGUAAAUAUUUGUUCUAUAUUUUUUUCCUAUUUAGACGACACCUCCUAAUAAAGUUGUUAGAUUUUAUUUAAAAUAACAAAUUUAUUAACGGUUAUAUAGAGUUUGGUAAAAGAAUAAGUGAUAUUUAUGAGAAAAAAUACAAGAUAAAAAAUAAAUUUAAAAUACAAUAUAAAAAUUGGUAAAUAUAAUAAUACAAUAAUAUCGUUGAAAAAUAUUAAUAUAAUAUAUUAAAUAAAAAUAAUAUUAAAUUACAGUGCAAUGAGGCGUAAUUAAGCCUAGACUCUUUUUUACAUAGUUCUUGGGAACAAGGAUGAGAUUCAUUGAACUAAUUUGAUGUUAGUAAUAUAUAAAUUAAAUAAAUUAUAUAAAUAUAAAAUAUAUGUAUUUAAUAUAUUAUCGAGCUGAACACGAACAAACUGAUUCUAACUCGUGUUUGAGCUCAUAUAUUCUGCUUGUUUGUUAAGAAAUUUUCAUUCAGGGUUAAAGUGGGGUUAAAGUUUUUUUGUGUUUGGUUGGGGGUUGGAUUUAGUCCAGAAUAAUAAAAAAUAGUGUUUGGUUGGGUAGGUGGGAUAAGAAGAUAAUGAUUGAUAAAGAAGAAUAAUGAUUGGUUGGAGUAGGUGUGAUAAGAAAGAUAAUGGGUUAUUAUGAAUAAAAAAUAGUGUUUGUUUGGAGUUUGGUGGGGUUAGGUGGGGUUAGCUAACCCGAAAUAAUUUAUUUGAGGUCGGAUUAGGUGGGAUUAGGUAAUCCCACCUAUUUUUUAAGGUGUUUGGGAAUAAAAUGGGGGUUAAGGGGUUAUUCCACCCUUUAACCCCCAACUAAACCAGGGCUAAGAAAUUUUCAUUCUGUUCGCCUAGUGCACAAAACGAGCUUAUUUCGAGCCGAAGAAGCAGUGGCUCGCCGUCAGCUUGAUUGCCACCCUAUCCGCCAUCUUCCGUCCGCCCGCUCACUCUCUCUCCUCAUCUGUCCCCAUAACUCGGAGAAAGAAAGAGAGAAGAGAGAGAGUGAGGAAGGAGAUGAGGCGACGGGCGGCGGCGGCGGCGCUUCCUCUCGCCCUCGCGAUUGCGGCGGCGGCGGCGAUCCCGACGNAAAGAAAGAGAGAAGAGAGAGAGUGAGGAAGGAGAUGAGGCGACGGGCGGCGGCGGCGGCGCUUCCUCUCGCCCUCGCGAUUGCGGCGGCGGCGGCGGUCCCUUCGAGCCGGUGACGUCGCCGAUCGACGGCUCCGGGUUCCGCGGCCUCGCCGUCGACCUGCCGGAUUCGGACCCCAGAAUUCGCCGCCGGGCGCGCGGGUUCGAGCCCGAGCAGAUAUCCGUCUCCCUCUCCGCGUCCCCAGAUUCCGUCUGGAUCUCUUGGGUCACCGGUCAAAUCUAAUCUCUUCCCACAUACCCCCCUCCUCCUAAGUAGGUUUCCUUGUGAAAUUGAUUGUAGUGAGAAGGGGCAAAUGCAUGGAACUUUUGAUAUUUGUCCUGCACAGAUUGUGUCGUCAUGUAGUGUUUGACUGAAUACUUCUCAGGUGAUUAGAUGGAUUGAACACUAAAUUGGUCGACAAGGAGCAUUUGCAUAAUAAUUAGUUCGUUAGUGUCCCUUUCACCUGAGCCGAACCAAACCUGCUCUUUAUUAUCAUCGGACGACAACGAGUUAUUUGCAUGUAAAAGUACAUGGUUUAAACAUAGGUUAUGCACUACGAUUUCAAGGUAAAUUUUACAGGUUUUUUCUUUCUUUGGAAAGCUAUUUAUCGUUUUAGAAUACUCAUAGAAACUCAUUCGUACCCGAGCCCUUCAUGAUUUCAUGGAUAAUAAUACUGUAGGCUCACAAGAUAGUUGUAAAGUUGUUUUUACAGGGAAUGCAUUCUCCACAUUUUGCAUGAAAUAAUCUUUUGCGACUCAGAAUUUAAUUAGUUCCCUAUUGUUUUUACUAACUUUUUGCUUGUCAUACAUUUUCUGCAUUUUCAGGGGACUUCCAAAUCGGAGAAGGCAUAAAGCCGUUGGACCCGACGGCUGUAGCAAGUAUCGUGCGUUAUGGAACAAUAAGGAAUCCUUUGAUUCAUAAGGCUGUGGGUUAUUCGCUUGUCUACAACCAACUCUAUCCAUUUGAAGGCCUUCAAAACUACAGUUCUGGAAUAAUCCAUCACGUACGUCUCACAGGUAUGUUGUCCGCAUAAUACAUUUUGACUUUUACAUUGCGAUGCUUGUUUGGAGUUGCUCUAAUAUAUUUAUGUGGAAUCUAUUUUGUUUAAUGUGUUACAAUAUUGCCCAAUGGUUCAAUAAGAUUUUUUGGAAGAUACUACAGUUCUAAAUACCAGUAGGCGAUAUUUCUAGCAAAAGGUAUAUUUUUUUUCCUUUUAAUCGUUAUAGGCUUCACUUAAUGAAUGCCGUGAGGCUCAUGGCUGAGGCUAUAUUAUGUGAAACAAGUGUUGUGCAAGUUGCAUCAAUUUCAAUGUAUUGCUACAGAUGUUAGAAUCAUAUGAUAACGUCCAGGUUAUCUUUUAGCAUGUGGGGAAAAGGGAUACAAUUCUUCUAUGCUUGUAUAAAUAACAUAGCUUCAGAUAUGAAAGUUAAGUGUAGUGAUUUCUCUUAGACACAAUAUCUUUUUGAGAGUAUAUUUUGGUUAUACAAUGUCAGUCUCUGCCAAGGAUGUUGUCAUCUUUUGUAUUUUCAAUGAGACUCAUCACUCUGCCUCUUCUCCAUUUACUGAUUGGAUGAUUUUCAAGUGAUUCUUAAGGCUGAAUAUCAUUCCUAAGGGAAAAACAAGUUAUCUUGGUCGCAAUUGCAGUAGAGGUGUAUGCAGGCUCAGGAAACGAAGAGAACAUUUUCUCUUUUAACCUUUCCUUUUAACAUGCCUUUUCUUUUCUGCAGGGCUUAAACCUGGCACGCUGUACCAUUAUCGAUGUGGUGAUCCUUCUAUACCGGCCAUGAGUGAUCUCCAUUCUUUUAGAACAAUGCCAGCUAUAGGCCCCGAAGCUUACCCUAAACGGAUUGCUGUGGUUGGAGAUCUAGGCCUCACGUACAAUACUACAUCAACAAUUGACCAUAUGAGAAGUAACAAGCCUGAUCUUGUUUUCUUGAUCGGUGACGUAUCUUAUGCAGAUUUAUAUUUGACAAAUGGAACCGGCUCAGACUGCUACCAUUGUAGUUUUAACAAUACUCCAAUACAUGAAACCUAUCAACCUCGGUGGGACUAUUGGGGAAGGUUAGCAUUUGUUUAGACUAAUCACAAGUCUGGUCCCCGAAGCUUGAUGCAAUUUCAAUAUCAUCGUCUGUUUCAUUUCUAUCAAUUUUAAUUCUUGAAGUUUGUUAUGCACAACAAUUUAGCCGCUUUUUGUCUGGUAGCUAAAAGGCGACUCAUAGGUACCACACAAUUAAAUUGGAACUCUGAGGAUGAAAUUGCAACUGAAGUCACAUUUUAAGAUUUUAACUUUUAACUGCAGGUUGAGCUUUAGCGCUAAAAUUGAAACUCUGUGGAUGAAAAAUCGAUAAUGGGUCAAACUUUUGGGACUAAAUUGUUACAAUUGAAGCUGUGAGGACGAAGCCUGGGUUAAACUUCAUGAGCUGAUUUUGAAAUUGAUCCGAGUUAUUUGCUAAAUAUGUUAUUUCCUUCUGACAGGACAGGACUGUGGAUGAAUUUCUCUCUGUUAUUUUUCUGCUUUUGGUGAUCUCGACACAUUACCUCAUGCGUAUUGUUUCGUGCUUCAAUAUCGGAGAAAAAUACUUGACCUUUUCUUUUCAGGUUCAUGGAGCCUCUUCUAUCGGAAGUCCCAAUAAUGGUGGUGGAAGGAAACCAUGAGAUUGAAGCACAAGUUGAGGGCAAGACAUUUGAAGCGUACAGAUCUAGAUUUGCAUUUCCGUCUAAUGAGAGUAGAUCAUUUUCUACAUUUUAUUACUCUUUCAAUGCUGGGGGAAUACAUUUUAUAAUGCUUGGCGCGUAUAUUUCCUUCAAUCGCUCAGGUGACAUGCUUAAGAAUUUUGUUAGUUUCUUUCCUGUUUAAAAAAUAAGAUGCUAGAUUGCUAGCUAUUCAGUUACAAAAGUUUUUUUUUUUUUUUCCUGAACUAGUUGUGUAGUGAGUGUGAGGAAUUGUUUCUGAAAGGACUAACAUAGUUGGUAAAGCCUUUUAUGGCUGGAGCUGCAUCCUUUAUUCAUCAAGCUUUCAUUAUGUAGUAUGUAUUGAAAAAAAAUCUACUCUUUUGAUUUCACAACUCCACUGCUUUUGCAACUCUUUUAUUUCUUUCUUUAUUUAUUUUAAUAAUGCCAGCACAUUGGUCAUGCGCAAAUUUUGGUUGCUGAUGACCAAGACUUCCAUUUCGUUUACCAUAGUCUUUUAUCUCUUCAGGUGAGCAGUAUAAAUGGCUGGAAAGAGACUUGGCAAAUGUAGACAGAAGUGUGACACCCUGGUUGAUAGCCACUUGGCAUCCACCUUGGUAUAGCACAUACAAAUCUCAUUAUAAGGAAGCGGAGUGUAUGAGGCUGGAGAUGGAAGAGCUUCUCUAUUCGUAUGGCGUUGACAUCAUUUUCAAUGGUCAUGUAAGUUCCCAGCCCUGUACUUGUUCCCAUUUGAUUAUUUUUGCUCUCGCAAACUUGAACAUGGUAUUUUUUAGUAGUUUUCGGAACAUUUGUCAUUGCUGAAGCAUAUUUCACUAAAUUAAUUUUUUUUUAAAAAUACUUUUACAUUUACUCCUGCAGGGUUAUCUAGUUACAUAUAUAUCCCUGGGCGGCAUCGAGCAAAAUUGAAACGUACUUUUACAUUUACUCCUGCAGGGUUAUCUAGUUACAUAUAUAUCCCUGGGACAUCUUAAUUUGCAUAUAUGACAUUUUACAAGGUACAUGUCUAAUAGACAUACCUUUGAACUUACAAAUUUCAAUGUUUAGAAAACCUUUAUAAGGAUAUAUAAUUUUAAGAAGCCCAAAUUUUGAGGGGUAUAUAUGAAAAUUCUGGUUCUACCAGGGUUUCGAUGGAUUUUGUUUAGAAAAUAUAUGUAGAAGAUCUUAGCUUACCGUCACAAUAUUUUCCAGUUAAGUUGGCAACCUUAUUCUUCCCCGUGAAGAGCUUGAUAACAAUUUAGAGAUCAAAUCAUUAUACUAAUCUAAUGCUAUUUGAUGACGCUUUUUAUGUGGCUAUUGAGAAAUGUACUUUGAACCAACUUUUUCUUGACUCUAGCUUGAACCGACUUCUUACAAAUGUUCUCCGAAUAGAUCUUUUCCCCCAAAAUGGAAUGAACGCAACGAAAUUUUUGUUUACUGUAACAAUUCAUCGAUUGAUGUUGCUAUCCCUGAACGUCAGGUACAUGCCUAUGAGAGAUCUAAUCGAGUUUACAACUACGAAUUGGAUCCUUGUGCCCCAAUCUAUAUAACUGUUGGCGACGGGGGUAAUAGGGAAAAUGUGGCGACUUCUCAUGCAGAUGACCCCGGCAACUGCCCCAACCCCUUAAGCACUUAUGAUAAGCACUUGGGUGGCAGCUUCUGUGCUACCAACUUCACCACGGGCCCUGCUGCAGGAAAAUUUUGCUGGGACCGUCAGCCUGAUUACAGCGCAUACAGAGAGAGCAGCUUCGGUCAUGGAAUCUUAGAGGCAAGUCCUUUUUCAGGUUCUCACAAAAGCCAAUUCUCACCACUCCUUUUCUCUGUAUGAUUGUUUGAUGAUUUCCCAGGUGAAAAAUGAAACUCAUGCAUUGUGGACAUGGCAUCGGAAUCAGGACAUGUACAACAGCGCGGGAGAUGAGAUUUAUAUCGUCCGGCAGCCCAACAAGUGCCCUGUGAGAUACGUGCUGCCCCAGUUUAAAUCCAAGAAUGUCUUGCCCAAUGACUUAUUCAGAAUAUGAAGGAACAUACUCCAGAUUGAUACUUGAGAUUAUACAGUGAAACAUAGUAGUUUAUAGGCAAUGUCCGCAUACCGAAAGAACAGUGUGAAACUUACUAAAGAAGAAUUCUUUAUCGCUAUGUGUUAUCCCCUGUUUGGUUUGGAAUGGUACAGAUUAGUUGAGAUACAUCCGAGAGAGGGAGAGAGAUUUUCUUCAUGGGGUAACUAUUAGGGAUGUUUGCUUUCUUGCAAAAGCGGGGAAACUGUAUCCAGAAAGAAUCUUUUUCAUGAAAAACAUUCUUUUCUACAGUCGUUUUUUCAGUAAAAAAUUUGGAAAAUAAAAAUACUAUUUUUUUAAUAGAAUUUGGAAAUAAGUUUUUUAAAAAUUAUUUUUCUAAGGCACCAAACGUACGAAAAAUAUUUUUUCAGCAAAAGAAAAACUAUUUUCUCCGAUAUUUUUCAAAAAACCAUACACCCACUUAAGCUUUUGGGCUUGUUUGGUAGUAGAGGCUCACAAAUCCGGACUAAGAAUGGCCUGAGAGAUAAAGAAAUAUUUCCUCACAAGAAUUCAUAAAAUUGUUAAGCCCUUUUUUUUUUUUUUUUUUUUUUUUGAAAGUAAGAAAGAUGAAGCCUGCAGUUACAAAUCUAUACCUAUCUAUAUCUUCUUCUUCUAUACAUUAUUUAUUAUAAACUUUGCCACGUGGCAAAGCCUCCUUCAUCCUUGCCUUAUUCCUCAUUCCUAAUGAUUGAAUUUAUUAUCUUUUAUCUCCGCGCGACGUUUGGUCUUUCCACAUGUCCAUUUCUUAAUUAAUAUAUUCACAUUCAUUAUCAUCUAAACAAAUCAAUUUUAUAGAAGAAACAAAUAAAAUAAAAUAUGUGGCGAAUGAGAAGUGGGGAUCAGGAUUCGCCUUCCCGAUAUCGACAGCGCAAUUAAGGUGUAUGUGGAGUAGUGUUCUAUUGCUGUUUUUUAUUAUUAUUAUAUGUAAUUUAUUUGCUAAAAUUAUAAAUUUUACUAUAUCUGGUUCAUAUGUUCUAUUUGUAUUUAUUCCCUUGAUUUUUUAUGACAAGUCAAAAAAUUUUAAAAUAUUUUUUAUUUUAUCAAUCUUUUGUCUCUUAUAGUAUCAGCCCGCCGCAAUACGCGGGUAACUUCACUAUUAACAUAAUGGAUGAAGAUACAAAAAUAUAGAAAUCAGGAACUGAAGCUAAGCAAAUCCUACAAGCCCCAUCCAAACAAAUUAAAUAGGCAAAAUUACACUAACAGAAAACAACAGAAGAUAGAUAACUGCAAUAGUACAGUCGAUGAAGCUGCAAUCAUUCUUUGUGAUGAUCCAAGCCUAUUAGUAGUGGCCAAAUAUAAACUGUUUCCAGAAAAAACCCGACUAUCGGACCAGCUGGAAUACACACAAGAGAGAAGAGAGUGAGCUUCGCUGCGACAAAAAUCUAACAGGCAGACAAAAAAGAAGCUUCUGACAACAUGCUCAGUAAUGUCAUCUCUCAGAAGCCGCUCGCAUAUCCAUUUGAAACGGAAGGCUUAGAUUGACCAAAAAUAUGAACACUUUUCUUCACUAAUUUGUUACAGUAAUCAAUCGGGCAACUGUUUUCGGCGGUUCGUGUGUUUCAGUUUAAUCUUUUUGUUUGACACUGUCUGUCAAGUAAAAUUAAGGGAAGUACAUUCUGCAUGAUUUGCAGAGUGUCCAUUUUAAGCAACUUUACCUUCUUCACUUUGUCAAACAGAUGAAUACCAAAAAUAGUAGUUAUUCGGAAUUUAAACAUAGUGAUUUCAUACGAGAUUAAGGAGCAAGAAGAGGAUAGAAACAGACAAAAGCUACAAAGGAACAUGCCAUUCCAACACAUCACUGGUGAUUAACAGAUUCAAAUAAAAGAAUUUAUAGACUCUGUCAGGCAGAAAUGAAAUUUGAAUCAUCACAGAGAAUUAUUAUAUCUUGAAAGCCGCACGUCACUCAAAUACAACACGGUUAGGUGGAGUUUAGAGGACAAAAAGAAAAAUGCAAAAAUAAAUCUCGUCCUAACAGAGGAUCCAGUACAAAGAGGAUGUUCCUAGGGAAAAUCUUCAACAAAAAUGCCUGAUACUUCUCAUGCAACAUAAAAUCAAUUGCAGAAUAAAAUGCAGGAGCAAGAGAUUUGGGCUAAUAAUCAGCUGAAAAAGACGGACUUAACGAUUCAGCCUUUUGUUCUCAGUAUAGUAAUGCAGCCUUUUCCUCCUUCGGUGCGAAUUUGAGUUUUCUCAACUACUGGCUUCCCAGAGAAAGCCGAAGUGAGGUAAGGAGGCUCAUCGUCCUUCUUGCUGUUAGAUUUUGAUGGUGGCGGAGAAUGGAUGAGAUGAUUUAUAUCCUUCAAUGUGAGAUCACCUUGUUCUCCACAUGAUUUGAUGAGGUUAAAUGGAUAGACAAUGGAAGUGGUUAACUUCUUUUGUGUCUUAAUGAAGGAUUUCUUGCCUGAUUUCAUGUAAAAACUAACUAUUAAUUCUUGCAAAAGAAGGGGAAAAAGAACGAAUCGUUUCAAAUGAGGGACGCAUUCAUGCUAGCUUUGAAACAUACCUUUGAAAAUUUUAAGAUUGGCGAGAUUGGUGGUCUGUUUUGCGACAUCAUUUUUGAUAGUAGGUGCUACAUCACAGAAUUCUGUUCAACGAGAUAAAGUAAAUGAAAAUGAAAUAAAAAGUUGCGAAUUCUCGGGCCUCAUUUCGUAAUGUCAUCAUUUUCUUUGUGUUUUUUUUCAAUUUUUUUCAAAUAUAAAUUCUUUGCAAUGGAGUGUCCAGGUGGAUGGCAAAGUGCUCUCAAUCUAUAUAUCUGUGAUACUUUUUAAGUGCGUAUUAGAUGGAAAAUUUGGCCUCAAUCUAUUUCUAAGCAAUACAAAAAAAAUAAAGAAAAAAGAAAAAAGAAGAACACUCCAAAAAGUUCAUUUUUCAUACAGUUGUCUGCUGCGUUUUGGAAGGAUAACUCACACCCAAAAAGAAAUCUAUUGAUUUCUCCUAAUGUAAGAAUCAAACACAUGGAACCAAAAAUCUUAAGUCUACUGAUUAGAGCCCACUAAUAUAUACCAAUUUCUAUUCAAUAUUUAUUCUAUACGGGACUAUUCCUCACAUGCGAACACCAGACACCAAGAAUUUCAUGAAGCUAAAAGCAUGAGUUUUAAACUAAAGCUUCUGCUUCAGUUUGGUGAGCCCAAAGCUCAUUUUGGCUUUCUGCUCCAACUGAAAGGUCUAAACUUUUGCUUCUCAAGUACAGGACCUUCCAUGAGCUCGAAAUUAAAACAUGCAUGUAAAUGAAAUAUGGACAAUAUUUUGAAGCCAUUAAAACACCCGAAUUUCAGCUGGCAAUCAGAGUUUACAUUCACAUUCUAGCUAGACCUACCAUGACAACUAAAUCUAUCAAUACUGACAAAGAAAAAAAAAAAUGGAAGAAAGGAAAUCUAUAAUUGCUAAUUGAAGCUUGGUAACACUGACAUUUCAUCAGGACUGGGAAACAAACCUCGAGAACCUGAGCUCUCUUGAGUAUUCUGUUGCAACCUUUCUUCUGAGCUAUAUCCAGACACGGAACUCUCUGUCACCUUAAAACAGGGAAGCCGAGACAUGAAAGUAGAGAUCUUAAAUUACGAAUAAGACCAAAAUUAGAGAAGCAAUUGGUGGUGGUUCAGGGAUCUAGUACCUUACUAGUUACAUUAAUACAAGUGAUUUGCGCAUUUUCAUUUCCUUCUCUCUCGUAAUCAUCAGAAUCGAAUUGCAGCACACGUCGCCUUUUAACCAGUGACAACUUUUCGCACUCCACUUCUUUUCUGGAACUACCUAUGCAUUCAAUUGUCCCUUAAUAUUGAGUAAGAAGUCAAUAGAAAGAAGAAACUAGGGUGAAAGGAGAAAUAAGUUACUUUCUACACCUGAUAUAUCGUAGCUAACAUCUCGACACUCUCUGAUUGGAGUUUGAUCUCCCAGCAAGUAUAACAAACUGUCAUCUUCUUGGUUCAUGCCAUCCCAAAAGGAGAAUAGAACAUCUGUACAUUUAAAAGAAUGAGUAUAAAAGCAACCUAGCAAAAGAAAUUCCUGAAUAUGAGAGAGGUAUCUAACCAUCUGCUGGAUCUCUUGACCCAUAAAGAUCUUCUUCUCCUUGGCAUUCCCACAUAUAGCUUAUAUGCAUUAGACAAACCAGAUUAUGAAUCAGUAUUUUGCUCUCCUCCAUGAAGCAAAUGAUGACAACAUUACAACCAGAAAACUGAAAAAAAGAGGAAAAUAUAGGGGGGGAAAAAAUGUUUUCCAAACUGUUAAAAGUUGCCACAUUAUGCUGAUAAAUUUCAGCCAGAACCACAUUGAUUUUGCAUGUAAUUAUUCAGCAUAAUCUUGAUAAAGACCAACUAUCAAACAGGAAACUGAUCCAAAAGUGCAAAAAGAUAGUUCAAUAAAAUUUGGGCACUAACAGAUUCAGAUAGUUUAAAUAACUAUCUGAAGGUAAAUUAGUCCACUUGUUUAUAAAUGAAAGUUUGUUCAGAAUCUUCUACAUAUUGGUAUUUCAAAAGACUGAUCAGUUAGUCACAAGGAGAUACUUGAAAAUCAAUUGAAAUGCAGGAAAAAGUGAUAAGAAAUACAAAGCAUACUAUAACCACAUAAUAAAUCUAAACCCCAGUGCAAACCUGGAAAGAUAGAUCCCCAAAUGGCAAAGUUAGAUGGUGUGAGAAAGAGAAACAAGAUCACUCACAUAUUAUUGUUGUUGUGAUUGUUGCCAUUAUUGUUGUCAUGAAAUUCCAUUUAACUAAGAGAAGGGUGAGAGCCAAAUUAAACAAGAGGAAAUGGGAAAAGAAAAAAGAAAAAGAAGAAAAGAGCCAAUAGCCGUUAGAGAGGAGGAUGGAGCUUCAUUUCCUCACUUCUCCCAGAUGGAGAACCUCUCAUUCUUAUACAGAUUAAAAAUAAUAAUAAUAAUAAUACAGUAAGAUGAAAGAAGGGAAGGUGUGGGAUUUUGUAUUUAUCUACUCUCUAAUGGCUUUCCAAACAUGGCUAUAGAUUCAGUUAAUUGAGUACCACUACCUCACACAUUAUAAGUUGAUGAGAAUAAAAUUUAGACAAAAAAAUUUGGGAUAAUUUCAUCAAUACCCCUCUAGGAGACAGUAAUUUCAUAAAUACCCCUCUAAAUUAGAAAAUAUCAAGAAUACCCCUCUAAAAAGCAACAAUAUUCACAAAUACCCUUAAAACUAACAUUCCGUUAAAAAUGUCAUCUAAAAUUCUAUAAAUACCAAUUUUACCCUUAUUACUAAUUUAACUAAGUGUAAUAAUUUAAGAUUAAUUAUAUGAUUAAUUCUUAACCUUUCAAUCACAUAAUAAUUCAACAUUCUCUUUAAAAUUUUACAAUUAAAGAUCUACAGUCUAUUAAGUGUAAUAAUUAAAUCUUGUUAUGAUUUUCGCUUUUAAAUUAUAUAAUAGUUGUAAUGCAAUUAUCCAUUGUAGUAUUUAACAUUAAUUUUUUCAAGAUUUUUUUUUGAAUUUUAUUUAAAUAACUCACAGUUUUCUAAUUAAACAUUUAUUGUCAACAAAAAAAGUAACAUUGUAUGAAGACCCUCUCACCUAUUAGUCCACUUCAGCAUGAUCUUAACUUUAAAUUAUAUAUAUAUAUAUAUAUAUAUAUAUAUAAAAGUAGGGCUACAAUACUUUUAUAAGUAUAGAGCCCUAUGUACUCAUAAGUUUUUUCGAUAAUGGAGCUUCCGAAUCGACGAUCUACUAUGUUAAAUAUGAUCUAGAGUGUUUGCAAUUUUUAAAAAAUAAAUUUUGUAAUUUUUCGAAAUCAUAAUAACGUCUAUCAAGUGGGCAUAAAAUGAGCUGUCAAAAUCUCUAUAUUGAUCUUUAUCUAAAUAGUAAAUAAAAUUUUUUAUCAAAAAUUCAAUUGAUUCCGAAUUUUUUUCACCAUAAACUAGCAAGUAUCCCAUACCGACCAUUAAAAAUUGUCAAUUUUGAGAUCUAUUGAUCGUAAUGAUAUAAAAAAAUUAUAAAAUUUGAUUUCUUGAAGUUUUUAAAUAUUCUAGAUAAUAUUUAACGUUAUGGAUCGUCGAUUCGAAAGCUUUAUUAUUGAAAACGACUUAUGAGUAGGAAGGCAAUCACACUCAUAAGAGUAUAGUAGCCUGACUCUCUCUCUCUCUAUAUAUAUAUACAUCCUCUCAACUGUAGUGAUUCUUUACUUUUGCAAUUAAGUGUUUUUUUUUUUUCCAACUAAGUUAAAAAUUUUAUCAAAUUCAUGUAUGAGUGAUCUCAAUUGAAAAACUUUUAACUAAGUAAAACGCAAAAACAAAAAAAAACAAAAAGUUAAAGGGUUCUCUAAAUGUUAAAAAAUUGAAGUUAAGGAGGUAUAUUUCAAAAUGACCUAUAGGUGAGGGGCUUCCACUUAUUUUAUCCAUCAAUAAUUAGUGUUAGAAAUUAGAAGGGUAUUCAUGAAAUUACUCCUGUAUUAUUUGUUAUCAAAAGAACAACCCAAACAAUUUUUAAGGGGUAAAUUAGUCAUUUUAUAACUUUAUCCUAACGUCAGUUAGAAUGAGGGUAAUUGUGAUAAUUUUCUACAUUUGAAGGGGUAUAUAUGAAAAUUUUAAUUUUAUAGGGGUAUUUGUGAUAUUUACAUGUUUAAGAGGGCUAGUGAUGAAAUUGCCCCAAAAAAUUUAUAUCUGUACAUUAUUCUUUCUAAGUUUGUCAUAUACUAACGUUCUCUUCAUUAUUGGUGUGGGCUCCACUAAAGUUCUCCACAUAUUUUGAUUUUUUUUUUUUUUAACCGAAUCAAAAUUUUCUUUUUCUUUACUUGAACCGAACCAAUCAUUGUUGAGUGUGUGCUCCUCCAAUUAAACUGGCUCUAAGUCUUCUACAUAUUUUUCUCUUUCUUUGUUUGAACUGAACCGGAUCACAUCUCUGUAUUGGCCCGAACUGUUAUUCUUCUACUUCCUUCGGCUGUUACCUUCUUUCAUCGAUAAGAUGAAUUUUAUUUUUUAUCGUUGUUUCUUCCAUCGCUAUUUUCUUUUAUUUUAUCACCACUUCUUCUUUUUUUUUUUUCUAAUUAUCUACCGGUCGUAUUGCAAUUAUUGCUACCCUAGUUAUAACAUUAUAGGAUUUAUAUAUAUUAUGAGUUAGACUGGAGCCUUGAGUUGGUGGGCUGGAUUCAUACUGCUAGAUUUUAUUGGCAUGUAUUCCUAAAAGUGGCAUAGCAUUAUAUUCAUCAUCUAUACUAUUAUAGUUGAUGAUUAUUUAUGCUUUCAUUUUUUUUUUCCCUUACUUUAAUUCUUCAUCGUGUGACUACGCAGUCGUUAUUUCAUUGCACCGCUAAGGUCUUAUUGGAAAACAUAUUACGCAGGCACUGCGAUCCAUUGAUCUAACACAAUAGAUUCGAUCAAGACAUGAAAUUUCUCAUUUGGCAAAGUUGGGAUUCUCAAUCUUGUAAUCACGAAUGAGACAUUUAUAGCAUAAUAGUAGCAGUAAACCUUGAUUUAAGUGAAGCAUCUUUUGACAUGUUUUCAGUAUCUUGCAUUAUGCCAAAAAAACUAGCUCUAAAUGUUAACUAUUUAUUGUCUAUGUUUACCAAAAAAUUCAAAUCCAUGUAUUUCUUUUUUUCUUUUGCAAUAUAAUAUUAUAAAAAGAGUUAGAGUUUGAGGUUCGGUAAGGUAUAUGUCUUAGCCUUUUAUCACCAAGGAUUUUGGUGUUCUAGCUUUGUCAUUUUUUCAUUCUAUGUAUAAACUACGAACUCACGUGAUUUCCAUUUUCACUGCAAACUAUAUAAGUCUUUCCCUUCUUCCAAAAUUUUAAAAUUUUUUGUAGCUAUUAAUUAAUUAGCAGUUCAUUCUCUCGGUUUAAUUUGCUAAAAAGUAAUUUACAUAAUCAAAUUUGAUAAAAUUAUGGUUUAAUUUGAUAAAGUUUCAAAUUUAUUUGAUUAAAAUCAUCCAAUUCUAAAAAUCCAUAAAAUAAGAGGUCUGAAAUGACAAGAAAGGUUGAGAGAGCUAUCUAAGAAUGUAUGUAGAGGGAUUUUCUAAAUAAGGAUUUAAGUGCCGUGACAUGUACGGAAUCGUACAAAAAACUACUGCAUACACGAUACGGCAUGGUGCGUGAGGGACUGUGCCGAUGCAUGCCGUUCAUAAAAAAUAUAUAUAUUUUGACAUAUAAUGAUAUGAAAUAUUUAUUUUUUUAGUAAUAGAAUAUUCUAAUUACUUGUUAUAUAUAUAUUUAUCAAAAUUUUUAAAUUUUAUUAAAAAAAUUACUUACUAGUUAUAUAAAAAAAAAAGAGCUUUGAACUAUGUCAUUGGCACGGGUUGUAUUGUGCCGAUAUCUUAUUGGUAUGAUACAUCACGAAAAAUAUACUCCAUACGGAUGAUAUAUAUUUAAAUCGUUGCUUGUGUGUACUCCCUCAAAAUUUACAAUUUUUGUACAUAUCUUUAAAAAAUGAUAUUUGUACGUAGAUCUCUUGCUUGUACGUUUUCAUUUUUGCACUUUUCAGACUCAAAAAAGAGUUUACUCUGAGCGCAUCAUACUUAACAUACUCUUAAACAUAAGGUCUUGAAGCAAAGAUAGAUUUUAACAUACACAUAAAUAUGCGUCAUUUCUGCAGAUAUACGCAAAAAAAAAAAAAUGAAAAAAAAAAUAGAGAUAGAAAGAGAGAAUACAACUCAACUUAAGACCAAUUUUGUUCCAACAAAACCACACCAAAUUAAACAGCAAAGUUCAGUUUCAACCAAACACAGACACAACUAUCCAAUGAGCCAAAACAUGAUGGGAGCAAAACUUCAAGACUCUCCUCUCACUAGCAACUUACCAAACAACACACAUUCUAUAACCACUCAAAAUAAAAAAAAAAAAAAAAUGCUCCCCACACAUUUUAUUUUCAGAUAAUUAACUUAGUAGAUCAACAAUCGACAGCUAUAAAGUCCAAAAAGCUCAAAACUAGAGAAUGAGAUUGUAAAACCCAAACGCGAAAUCUAGAAAAAUUUCUAAACUAACUACGUCGAAACCUUGUAAAGCACUUACAAAGAGUAUGAUUUUUCGCAAUCUUUGUUAAGCAAAUCAUAUCUUUGCUAGUUUCUGUGCAAGGUUCCGAUGUAGUUGGUUUAAAAGCCUCUCCAGAUCACGCAAUUAGGCAUACACGGUUUUGGUCAUCUUACGAACUCUAGUUCUAAUUUUUUUUGACUUUUAUAGCGGUUAACGGUUGAUCUAAUAAGUUACACAUUUUGCAAUCCUCCGCCGGUCUGGUGGAGCAUAGCAUCGAUCUCAUCGCCGUCCUCCAUGUCCAGCUGGAAAGAAUAAAAUGGAAAUUGUAAGCUAUCAAAAUUUGGUGGCAACUACGUAAAUCUUUUUUUUUUUUUGGCGUUCUUACUUCAGUAGGGGUCUGCUGUCCACGAAGGCGGCGGCCCUCGUACAGAAAGACGACCGUGUUGACGUCGAGUGACUGCCUGUUGCAGUAGGCUGUCAUCAACUUCUGGAGCUGCGAAGCGCGCUUGAUCCUGAAACAGACUUCGAUACCAUCCUGUGUACAACAAAAAAAAAAAAAAGCUUGAUCUUCGAAACCUUAGAAUGAUCAAACUGCGUUCGAAAAAGCUAUAUAUAUAUAUACACACCUGUCCCCUAACUUUCAGAUUGAUCUGGUUCGCCGGUUUCUUGUCGCCAUCGUCAAUGCUGGACAUUCCGACGCUGUUCGACUCUUCGUCCUCCAUUCUCGACAUUCCUUCUACCUCUCUUCGAAAAAUCUAAACUCUUUGAGAUAGUAUUUCAAAGAUAUUCUCACUCUCUUUGCACGCUCUUCUCUCCCCAUGGGGUAGGGUUUAUAUAGGGGUUUUGGAGGGAAACGGACGCAGCAGCGUCGCGAGGGUCGCGUGUGUUGGGGGGUUUGGUGCUGCAUGCGAGGAAAACGAUACCUCCUGUGGAAGAGCUUUUUUUUGAACCCUGGCGCGCGCUCCNUGUAUUAAUUCCAACUCCACUGCAGAGAAAGGAAUAACGUUUCAGAAGUGGGGGAGAGCGCGGAUUACCUACAACCCCGUGCGUAGGAAUCCCUAGCACACGGAACCGAUCCCGCCGUUCAUUACUCGCGAAUCGAAUCCGUACCUUUGGCAUCGGACGGUGCGGAUUUAGUCUCUUGUUCAUGAACGGUGAGAUAAAGUCGGUGUGUACAAAUUCCUGCGCACCGGGUUGUAGGAAUGCGUGUUCCCAUUCUGAACCUUCCAUUUUUGCGAGCCCGCGCGCGAUUCCCGUUGAGAACCCUCCCCUUGCGAGAAGCGUGAGGGUGAGAUAAGGAAUUGAGAAAUAUUCCCUACACCCGGUGUAUGUGUACGUACGACUCGUAGACCGUGGCGCCGAAUCCUCGUAAUGAUGAGUUUCUAAAUUCAAGCAAGGGACCUUUCUAUGGGCUAUUGGUUUUUUGAAACUACUUGAUGUUUCAAUAAUUAAUAUAUAAGCGACAAAUUGAUUACAUGCAAUUACAACUAUGAUUAUAGUUCAUAAUAAUUAUGUACAAAUUUAAAUUCGGUGUUUAAUUUGAUAUAUUUGAAUUCAACUGUCGCAGUUGGAACUGUAUGAUGAGCGCAAACUGCAGCAGUUAAAAUUAUGUUCGAAUUGGCAAUAAUUUCAACUGUAUCAGUUGGAGAGAGUAACUUUAAUUAGGUAAACUUAUAUUCUUAAUCGCAUUUUAGAUAGAAUAUAUAUAUUUUUCUAUAUAAUUGCAGCAUUUUUUAUUAUAUCCAACCAAAUAAGAUAUAUGCAGUUGUAAUUAAUGUAUAUAAAAUUACAUGCAUCUCCAACUACGCUAUAUUUCUAAUUAUAUUCAGUCAAAUGGUCAUUCAAUUUCUAAAGUUUAUUUAGUUUAUUUAUAUAUAUAUAUUAGGUCACAUCUAUAAAAUUUGAUUAUAAUUUUUUAGAUAUUUACUAUUAAAAUUCAGAUGCUGUAUAUCACAAGUCUUGAAACAACUCGAGUGCGGGCAAUAAUUCACAGGGUGAGAGUGUUUUAAUUCUUGGCUAAAUUAGGCAAAUCUUUUGAGCCCUACUUGGAUGCUUUCAAUUUAAUAAGUGUGAACAAAAUUUAAGCUGUGCAUAAUACUUAGGUCCUUAAAUUUUAAUUUAUUACAUUUUGACUCAAACUUUGACACUGAUGCACAAUAAUGUAGCACAUUAAUUCUUUACUGUUGCAUCGCUGCUCCAUAGGCGACAAAUUAAUAUUUAGUUAAUUAAAUUUACUCCCUAAGAGUUGAUUGCAGUGAUCUACAAAGCACGAAUUAAAAAUUAUAACAAUUUAAUAUGUGAGGACUAAAAUAUUACACACAACUUAGUUUGAGGACCAACAACGCAAUUAACCAAACUUUUUUCAUUAGAAAUAAAAGUUAAAACUAGCUGCUCGAGUUCAAAAAUAUAAAAUAAAUUGUAUGCUUCUAUAAUAUAAAAAUUAAUCUAAAUUUUUUUAUUAUAGCGAUAUUAUUACUUCUUCAAAUAACUCUACUAUAUAUAAAAUACGUGAAGAAAUUAAGUUUUAUCUGCAAGUAGAUAAUGAGAACCUAUUUGGUCUCGUUUUCCAGCAUUUGCUUAUAAUUAAGAAUUUGUCAGUUGACCGACCAUCCCUAGAGAAAGUGACAACGGGUUUGGUGGUUGGUACCCGAGACCCAAGUUCGAAUCCUAGUUGAUUCACAUUUCUUGCUAAGUUUAUUUCUAAAUGAAAUAAAUGAAGCGGGUAGUGUGCUGCCUAUCUCUCUCUAAAAAAAAAGAAUUUGUCAGUUGCUUAAGACUGGUAUAGUAGGCCACAAGUUUACACAAAAGUGGCCUGAUUUUGUCACAAAGGUGAGUAAAAGCAUCAUUUUGCAAAGUUGUCCCAUUGCACAAAACCAUUGUAUGUAUUAAGGCUUAGUUUGAUAAUGUGACGAGUUAAAUUCUGGUCUAUUGGACCACAACUCAUCUCCAUUCUAUAUUUUUUUCAAAAAAAUAAUACAAAUAUAGAGUCUGACUACUAUACUUUUAUGAGUAUAGACGUCUUUAUACUCAUAACUUUUCGGCCGUUAAAUUUACCCUUUGAUCAUUUUCACCCGUUAGAUCAUACUAUUUAACCAACAACUCAUUUAACCCUAGGGAACCACUAUUAUUCUAAUUUGGGACCACUAUCAUCCUAACCGUAAAUUUCUUCACCCAACAGCCAAAAACUUAUGAGUAUAAAAGUGUUUAUACUCAUAAAAGUAUAAUAGCCUUUUGCUCAAUAUUAUAUAUAAUACUAUAUUUUAUUUUUUUUUUUAUUUUGUGUGAUGUGGGGAUUUGAUGGUGUAGUGUAUUUUUUUAUUAUUUUAUGUAUAUUUUUUUUGUUUUUUUUUUAUUUUUUUUUUUUUUUAAAUACUCUGCAUGUAAGCAGCCGAAGGGGGCCGUGAGGAUUUUGAGUUUUAACAUUGGAUCGAGAGAUGUAGAUUGGCAUUGGAUGGUGGUAACAUGUGUUUAGUGGUGGUUAGGUGGUUUUUAUAGUGUUUGAUCAAGGGUGUAUAGUAUUAUAGAAUUAGGAUCAAUGGCUAGAAACUAAAAGCACCAAUGUGAGUGGGUGCUUUAAAAGUAUUUAAUCAAUAUAUAUAUAUAUAUUAUAAUAUUUUUUUUUUUUUUUUUUUAUAUUAUAUAGAUAAAAUAUAAAUAUUGUUAAUUUAGUAAUUAAUUUUUUAAAUUAUAAAUUUUUAAUCAAAAUAUAUAUAUUAUAUUAUAUAUUAUAUAUAUAUAUUAGUAUAUAUAUAUAUAUAUAUAUUAUAUUUUAAAAUUUUAAAUAUUUGUUAUUUUAUAAUUAUUUUUAUAAAUUUUAAAAUUUUUAAUCAAAAUAUCAAUUUAAAUAGAAAUAAUUAUUAUUUAUAUUUUUAGAUUUUAUAUAUAUAUUUAAAAAUUUUAAGGAGCUAGCCCGGAGCACGGCUGGGCCCGGCAAGGCCCGUGGCUUCCGAGCCGAGAGGCCAUGUUUAGUCGGAGGCUAGGGAACUCGGGCCCUGCAGGGCCCAACCCGAAUUUGUUGUUGGGCCGGGCCAGCCCUUAGCCCAUUUUGGCCCAAAUAAUGUGGGCUGUACCGGCUCGGCACAGCCCAUAUUAUGACCCUACUCACAACUAAAAUUUAUUUUCGACUAACUUUUUAUAAGAUAUCUAUGUCAUAAUUAAUGCAAAAUAGUCAAUUGACCUUAUAAUCAAGAAAAGUGACAAAACUAAUAUGCAAUAGUCACUAACAUGCAAUGAGCACUUUCUUUUUACAUGGUCUAAGGGAUUGAAAUGUUUACUCUCAUAUAAACUUUCCUCCAUUAUUAUUUGCAUUCAGCAUGUUGAGUAAAGUUUUAAGUGAAGUAAAAAUUUCGCUACCCUUUAACCUCCAAUAAUAAAAAAUAUUUCAAUUUAAAGGGAUUAUGAUAAAAAAUGUUAAAGAAGGAGAAAUAGAUAAUAUAUAGAAAGACAAUAAAAUUUUUGCCUUUCUAAUAUCAUCUUAUACUUUCUUCCUCCUUAUUUUUUCGCGUUCUUUUUUUUUUUAAUACUUUCUUUUCAUUUUUCUUUCUUUAUUUUUUUCUAUUCUUACUCCUUUCUUUCUCUAUUUUCACUUUUUAUCACCUUACUUUCUCUCUCUUUAUUUUCUCCUACUUUAUUUUUUCUUUAAUCUUGCUCUCCUUUAUCUCCCUUUGUUUUCUUUUUUAUCCAUUUCUCUCUCUCGACUUUCUCUCUUUACUUUCUAUCUCUUUAUUUUUCUCUCCCAACACUUUCCCUAUCGUCCUUGCUUUUUUAUAUUCCUUUAUUUUCUCUCUCUUCUUCCUUUUCUAUCUAUUCACUUUCUCUCUCAUCUCUCUAAUUUUUUUUUUCUAGUUUUCUCUCUUCACUUCUCUCUCCUUUGUUCUCUCAUCUCCCUUUGUAUCUAUUCACUUUCUCUUUAGUCCAUCGUUCAUCUUUUUUUUUUUUUCUCGCGUUCUCUCUUCACUCCUCUCUCCUUCGUUUUCUUUUUUUAUUUUCUCUCUUCUCCUUAUUCACUCUCUUUUCUCUCUCUCUCUCUCUCUCCUUUCUUUCUUUCCUUGUUUUUUUUGUUCACUUCUUUUUUCUUUCUUCUCUCUCUUUUAUUUUCUAUCCUCACUUUUCUUUCUUCACUUUCUCUCUUGUUAUUUUCUCUCUUCCUUACUCUCUCUUCUCUUUCUCUUUUCUUUCUUUAUCGUCAUCUUUACUCUCUUUACUUUCAUUCAUAUAUAGUACAACUAAGUAUCAUUAAAGAAAAAUAUUUUACGGAAGCAAUAUUUACUGAACAAAAUGUUACAUGGGGAAAUAUUUAAUCCCUAACUUUUAAACCCAUAUCAAACUACAUCUUAAACUUAAAACUCUUAUAUUUUAAAAUUGAUUAUGAAAGGGCAAAUUGCAUAAGUGAUUCCUAGAAUUUGAGUGAACCCCAAACUUUUAAAUUUAACACUUGAGGCUCAUACUUUCAAAAUUAUUUUACUUUAGUCCUUAUAUUAGAAGAAAAUUAAUUGCAUGUACCUUGUUUAUUCAUACUUCUAUGCAUCAUAUAUCUAUUGGUCUUUCGUCUAUCUCAUACUUUAAUCUAACUCAAUCCUAAAUAGAGAAAAGAGAGUAUAAGAUAUAUAUUAGAAAUAUAGGCAACAGUUGCAAUUUUAAAAUGAUACUACCACUUUAUGACAAUUAAAUAAGAAGACUAUGAAAUUUUUAGUAAAUAUUCCUUUUUUAGAAACUAACCUGCACAUGAGAGAGAGAGAGAGAGAGUGAGAGAGAGAGAGAGAGAGACUCGAACAUGUUUUUCGUGAAAAUGUGUUGCUUACGCAAACAUGAGUACUUUCCGUGAAUGUGCAUUACUCGUGCAUGCUCAUGCUUUUCGCGAAGUUGUGUUACUCAUGGAACCCCAUAAUAUGCCUUAAUGCUAAGCUAGAUGUUGGAACUUAGGUUAUUGUUAGUUCCUUGAUAUCGAAGAGAGCAAUGUGGCAGCCUUAUCUCCUAUGCCUUCGUAUUCUUCUAAACUGUCCCUAGUCUAUUAUUAUCGUUGCGAAUCAUUGACUCUAACCACUAUUCCAAUAGCCCAAGCUGAAAGAAAUAAGGCAACCAAUUUACUUAAAAUAGAUAGAUACCAUGCUCAUCAACUAAAUUGUCUCUUGGCCCAAACCUAGCUACUUAUACCUGAGGUAGAGAAAAGGGAGGAGCCAAUGGGAGAAGGCAUCAUACUUCAAACAAAGAAGAGAGGAAUCGAUAGAGAAGAAUAAUGAAAAUGAUUUGGUCAUACUUGGAACAAAGAAAAGAUCAGAAAAAGAUACAAAAGAAAGAAAAGAUUUGGGUAUUUCAUAAUGAAUUGGAUGGGUUAAUGCAUUAAAAAGUGAUUAUGAUAUUAAAGACCGAUUGAAAGAAAGCUUUUGAUAUUCACAUCUUCAAAAUAUCAUUUGAUUAGAUUAUGGGUCGCAUGAGUAAUAUUUAGUAAAUAAUUCCAACAUUUACACACGCAAAAAAAAGAACUUAAAUUUAUUAUGAACUUUUUACUAUUUCUAUCUACACAUUGACUUACUUUAAACAUGAGUAAGACACUAAAUUUUAGAGAUUUUAAAGAUUGUAUUUUAAAAAAAAUGAUAACAUCAACAACAGAUAAAAGGAAAAAAGAAAAAUAUGGAGAUUAAAUAGAUACCUGACCCUUGACUUUGAGAAAUAUUAUCGAUUCAUCAUCUACCUUUUUUUUUCUUUCUCUUUUGUAGAACACAACAUUCUUCCUCCUUCUCCUCCCCCCCCUCCCUUCUCUCUCUCUCUCUCUCUCUCUCUCUCUCUCUCUCUCUCUCGCAACUACAACACAAUUUAUAAUAACUUCUAUUUUAAGCUAUUCUUUUAAUUUGAAACGACUGGUGACGUCAUUGUUAAGAAAAGUAAUGGAAGUAGCACGAGAUGAAUGCAUUUUCUACGUUAUAGUCAAGAGAAGUAAUGGGAGUAACACGAGAUUCGUGCAUUUUCUACCUCAUAGUUAAGGAAAGUAAUGAAAGUAAUACGAGAUGAGUGCAUUUUCCACGUCAUAGUCAAGAAAAGUAAUGGAAGUAACGCGAGAUCAGUGCAUUUUCUUUUUUGUCGUUGCUUAAAUUAAAGUCCUCAAUUUCAAAAUAGAUUAUGAAAUAUAAAUUACAUUAGAAGUCCCUAAGACUAUAUUUGGUUCGGGAACAAGGUGGGCAAUAAGCCCUUGCUCCCUCCUUUGUUCCCAAAUACUUUUUUUGGUACCCGAAAACAGUAGUUUUUAAAUUUUUGGAAUAAACUGGUAUAAGGCUGGAACUGCUGUUCCAUUCUCUUCCCUGAAACAAGCUUGUUAAUUUCUAAGUGGGAACAAGAUUAAUUAAAGUCUAAAUUUAAUUUUAAUUAUAGUAUUAAAUCAUUAAUUAAUCUAAUUAAUAUAUUUAAAUUAUUAUUUAUUACUUAAAUAAAUAAAAUAAAUAAAUAAUUAAUUAUAAUUAAUUAUUAAUAAUUUAAUGUAUUUAUCCAUAAAUUAAUAUUUAUAUUGAUCAACCAUUAGAAUUUCUAUUAAUCUAAUUAAUUAAUUUUUACUAGUUAUCUAGCUAAAAUAAUUUACUAACUAAUUAAAAAGUUAAAUUAUUUUUUAUAUUUAAUUAAUUAAUUUGUAUAUUUUCAUUAUCUUCUACAAUAUUCAUAGCUAAUAAAUUUAUUAAUUUAUUAAAUUAUUUUUAAGUAAUAUUUUGAUGUUAAUUAAUUAGAUAAAAUAAUUUUAAUUUAAAAUUAUAACUCUUAUUCCUCUUGUUUCAAUCUAAGCAUCCAAAUACUAUUUACCUUAUUCCUAAUAACAACCGAAUUUCCAUCCAAACGCAAAAUUAGUUCUUACCUAUACCUGAACUUGUAUCUAUCUCUGAAAUAAGUAGUUCUUACUUAUACCCGAACCAAACGUAGCCUCAAAUUUGAACCAAUUUUAAUUCUAGCCUGCAAAUUUUUAAGUUCGACUUUCCUUGAACUUUCAAUAUAUUUCGUUUUGGUAGAAAGUUAUCACUUGUGCCCCAUUUAUUCGCCUUUUUUUACACUAAGAGUUUUGUUGGUUUUUUUUGUCACGCCUCAGAUUGCAUCGAAAUCCGGACUACUCAAUAGAUCCAUCGCAUAUGCAAAAAGCCCCAUAUAUGUAAAGCAAUAAAAGUACCUUUAUACAAUACAAGAGGCUACCACAAAAAAAAACAGAGUUAAAAUAAAAUUACUAACAACUAAAAUAUAAUCCACUGUACAUAUAUAAUUCCAAAAUAAUAAAUCUUCAAAAUAUACAAAAGUAUGUAUGUACAAAGCGCUACUCUCAAAACAAGCCACUAUAGGGUGCUCCUCUAACUCGAACAGCAUUGGUAGGGAAGAACUAAAUCGUGACUCCCUUACCUUGAUCUAACGGAGCGACAAGGGUGGAGCGCUCUGCCAGAAGAAGUUAACAAUAGAGGGUGUGAAAACUACUAAGACGAGGAGUCCUCAAUGAGUACCGUCACCAAUGUCGACGACUUACCUACUAGGUCUACUAGAGUUAAAAGUAAAGAUCUAUGACUAAUAGUAGAGUAUGGAAUCGUAAAAGUUGGAAAGAAAAAAAAUCUACAGUUACAUGUGAACUAGAGAACAAGUUAUGUGCAUUAGGACAAGUUUAAUAACCUAGAAGUCAUUGAACAUAAGGUAUAACAAUGAGUUUUUUCGUGACCUUCCAACAGUGCCAAUAGGGAACGCCGAUCACCCUCGACUCCCUCAUAUGCAUUGAGAGGGCUGAUCACUUUUGACUCCUACAUUGCAUUAAUUAGAGUGUCGAUCCUCUCGACUCCGUAUGUGGUGCCUGGAGGGAUGAUCUUCCUUAACUCCAAGUGGCUACAAAUUGAAGAGUAAUACGAUCUCCCUCGGUUCUUUUUUUUUUUUUUGAGAGAUAGGUAGCACGCUACCCGCUUCGUUUAUUUCAUUUAGAAAUAAACUUAGCUGGAAAUGUGAUUCAACUAGGAUUCGAACUUGGGUCUCGGGUACCAACCACCAAACCCUUUGUCACUUGCUCUAGGGACAGUCGGUGAUCUCCCUCGGUUCUUGAUAAGUGUUAUAUGUAUGUAUAUGUAUGUAUAUAUAAAUGUAUGCAUAUGCAUAUGUAUGUAUGUAUAUAUAGAGUAGGGCUACUAUACUCUUAUGAGUAUAGAGCCCUUCGUACUCAUAAGUUGUUUUCGAUAUUGGGGUUUUUGAAUCGAUGAUCCACACCGUUAAACAUGAUCUAGAAUAUUUGAAACUUCUAGAAAAUAAAUUUCGUAAUUUUUCGAAAUCAUUAUAAAGUCCAUCAAGCGGGUAUAAAAUGAACGGUUAAAAUCGAAAGACGUCCUAAAAAUGGAUGAUCGGAUCCUUCAAUUUAAGAUCGGAUCCUUCAAUUUAAGAUCGGAGUUAUUGAUCUUUAUCUAGGUAGUGAAUAGAAUUUUCUAUCAAAACUUCAACCUAUUCUGAUUCAUUUACACCGUUAAACUAGCAAGUAUCCAUACCGGUCGUUAAAAAUUGUCAAUUUUGUGAGCAUUUGAUCGUAAGGCAAAUGAUGUCGAAAAAUUAUAAAAUUUGAUUUCUAGAUGUCUUAAAUGCUCUAAAUAAUGUUUAACGGUGUGGAUCGUCGAUUCGGAAGCACUAUCAUCGAAAACAACUUAUAAGUACGAGGGCGAUCGUACUUAUAAGAGUACAGUAGCCGUAGUCUAUAUAUAUAUAUAUAUAUAUAUAUAUAUAGACCUAGGCUGGAAUACUAUCAAUAGCACCAAGCAUUUGGUGCUAUUAGGUUUUCGACCCUUGGAUUAAAAAAUAUACGGUUAGGAUGAUGUGGGCCCUCUAGGGUUGAGUUAGUUGUUGGUUUAAUAGUAUAAUCUAACGUGUGAAAAUAGUCAAAGGGUUAAAUCUAACGGCGGAAAACUUGAUAGCACCAAAUACAUGGUGCUAUCGAUAGUAUCCCAGUCGGACUCAAAAUAUCAGUUGCCUCUUUACAUAAGCCAUAAAAUUUUUUUGUCCAUAUUUUUUUAAUUAAUAGUAUACGUAUGCGCAUAUUUGUUGACGAAAAUCUCUAAAAAUUGAUGAAAAUAGAAGGUAAAAUAUACACGGUCUCUGUAAUAUCCACAUUGGGUAUGUAAAAUAAAAUCAUCACUUUUAGUAGCUUUUUUUUAGAGUAACAGCUAUUUAUUUCGUCAAACUAAGAGAUCCCAAAAUUAGAAUUCAUAAUUAUUGCCAAAAAUAAUUGCGGAAAGAAAAUAAAUUAGCAUCAAAAAAAAGAAUUGGUACCUGAACAGGGAUACCUGGACCAGAUUGUACGGCCACCACAUCGCCGCCGGCUCGACCAGAUACCGCCGGAAAAUCCCCGCCCACCCAAACCCUAAAACCUGAACAAUUUAAACGCACAAAACAAAUAUAUAUUAUGUCGAAAAGCCUCCCGUGGUUUGAUAUAUUUACGGUAUAUAGAACACUAAAAAUACUAUUCUCUAAUAAUCGUUUGGUUCAGAAAUAAACAGAAUUUGUUUAUUCUUGAAAUAGUUAUAACUUAAAAAAUAAGUAGGAGUAAAACAAAUUUUACGUUUAUAUGAAAACUUGAUUGUCUCUAGGUAUAAAAAAUAAUAGUGUUUGGAUGAUUAUAUUAGAAUAACGGGAAUAAGAAUAAUUGUAAUUUAAAAUAAAAUUAUUUUGUCCAAUUAAUUGACAUUGAAAUAUAAAGUAAAUAAUAAAUUAUUAAUUUUUUUAGCUAAGAAUAUUGUGUAAAAUAAUAAAAAAGGCAUUAAUUAAAUAAUUAAUUAUAAAAAUAAGUUAAAAUUUUAAUUGGUUAGUAGAUUAUUUAAUUAGUUUGAUAAUUCGUUAAGAAAUUAAUUAUAUUAGUCAAAAUAUUAAUUGGCUGAUCAAUAUAAAUUAGCUAAUUAAUUAUUUAGUCAAUAUAUUAGUCAAAACGUUAAUAUUUCUUAUUCCUAAAAAUAAUUUAAUUUUUAUUCAAACACACAGUUGGGCAUAUUUUUACUUAUCCUAGAAGUUGUGCCCGUAUUAAAAGUAAGUAAGAACAGCUUAUUUUUGAACUAAACAAUACUAUGAAAUAAUUAGUUAUUUUAUGUAUUAUUAGUGUUCAAAUCUCAUUAAACCCUUCCUUUUGUUCUCUACACCACUAUAGGUGUAAACAAGCCUUGUUCGAGCAAGCUGGCACCGGCUCGUAAAUAAACGAGUCGAACACGAGCUGGCCAACGAAUAUUAAGUUAAAAGGAUUAAAUUGAAUAUAUAUAAAAAAUAAAUUUAUAAAAUCUUAUCCAUUAGACUUUGAUCUACUAGUUAAAACGUUACAUAUAAAUAAGUAUUUUUAUAAUUGAGCUCGUCUUUAUAUUUUUAUUCGGCUAAAAAUUAAAUAAUAAAAAUAUAUAUUAUAUAUAAUUAUUUAUUAUAUAUAUAAAUAUAAAUUAAAUAAAUUAUAUAAAUAUAAAAUAUAUGUAUUCGAGCUGUUAUUGAGCCGAACAUGAGCGAGCUGAUCCCAGCUCGUGUUCGGCUUGUUUAUUAAACGAGCCCAAAGAUUCAGCUCGUGUUCGGCUCGUUUACUAAAUGAGCAAUUCGAUCUCGAGUUCAUUUCAUGCCGAACACGAGUUGGCUCAUGAACGGCCAGCUGGAUUGCCACCCCUACUCCUACUUUAAUGAGCUUUACAUUCAAAUACUCGUCUUGUGCAUGUGAGUGGUACCGUCGAAUAUAGAACGCAAGGUUUUGAAAUCAUCAUCCCCUUUGCAACUGUUUNGAGAAUUAGUUUUGAUUAAAAUAUUUGACUGAAUUUAGAUGAAAAGUCAUUUUUCUGAAGUGAUUUUGUAAAAUUAUUUUCUGAUUUUAGGUCUCUAUUCUUAGAAAAUUCAAUUUGAAAAUCAAAAUCAUAUUAUGAAAAAAAUGUUACCAAAUGCUUUGUUAAAAAAAAUUACUGAAGAUCUUAAAAUUACCCACCCUCUUACAUCCUAGAGAGAGAGAGAGAGAGAGAGAGAGAGAGAGUUGAGCUCCUAUGCUUUUAAAAAUGCCGAGUUAUUGGUGCUUGUAGAUUUUUCGCCAUUGGAUUAAAGGAUGUGUUGUUAGGAUGAUGUGUGACCCCUAGGGUUUAGUGGGUGGUUGGUUGAAUAGUAUAAUCUAACGGUUGAAAAUGAUCAGAGGCGUACAUCUAACGGUAAAAAAAUUUAUAAGCACCAAGUGCUUGGUACUUUUGCAAGCCUCAUAGCCGGACUCUCUCUCUCUAUAUAUAUAGAAUUAUGCUAUUAUACUAUCAUUGUACAAAGUACUUGGUGCUAUCGAGUUUUCGACUGUUGGAUGAAAGGAUGUGCAGUUAGGAUGAUAGCGGUCCCCUAGGGUUGAGUGGGUGGUUGGUUGAAUAGUAUAAUCUAACGGUGGAAAUGAUCAAAGGGUUGAUCGAACGGCAAAAUACUCGAUAAUCCCAAAAGUUUGGUACUAUCGAUGGUAUAGUAGCUGGACUCUAUAAAUAUACACUACAACAAAAUAUAUUUUAUACGAUGCUUUUCAGGCGACGCUCUAUUCUAGCAUCUUCAAUAUUUGACAUGUGCCGACACUAUGAUUAAGUAUCGUCAAUAAAUAUAUUUUUAUCAAAUACUGAUAAAAAUUCUCCGACACUAUAUUAAAGCGUCGGUAUAUUUGUCCCGACAUAUUUACUUAACGACUCUUUACUCGAUAUUUUUACAAGCGUUGGGAUUAUUCAUGCCAACGUUUUAAUGCGUCGCUAUUUAUUGUUUAAAGUGUCCUUAAGUGCAAGAUUUAUUGUAGUGAUAAAAUAAUAGUUUAAUUAUAUAUAAUAAUAUAUAUUAUAUAUAUAAAUUAAAUGUAUUAGAGAUUAAAUUAAUAGACAUAUUUGUUGGCCCACAAAACCAAAACAUCAAAACCCUACUCUAAUUACUCUCUCUCCCUCUCUUUCAUUGCUCACAAUGUGGAUUUCCCUAAAUUAUUUUUUUUUAAUAGUAUAUACCAUAUUUCAUACAUUUAUUUUCUAUGUUGAACUAUUAGACAUAUUUUUGUAUCAAAUUUUAGAUAACAUUUAUAAAAAAAUAAGCUAUAAAUUACAUGAUGUAAGAAUUCCAAGCAACUCAUUUAGGACUCGAGCUCACUCGACUCAAAGUUAGGCUUGAGCUCGGCUCGAAUUAAUUUCAAAUGAGCUUGAGCCUAAAUUUAGGCUCAAAAUUAAUUUCAAGUCAAGCUUGAGCUGAGGUAAGCUCGCUCAAGAUCAGCUCAUUUCCGCCCCCUACUAAAAGGGUGUUUGGAUUGGGGAAAAUGUAACUCAAACGUAGGUACUCAUGAUCAGUUUAGGUGCGUCUCUUCUUAAAUUUCAUUUUCAUAUUUUAUUUGAUUGUUAAAUUCCAGUUGUUUGAUUUCGAAGAAAUAGCAUAAAGUUAUUUUUUGCAAAAUUGGCACUUAAAGAUAAAUUUUAAAAAUAAGCAAAAAAAUAAUUACAUAAAUAAAUAAUUAUUGAAAGAUUAAUUACAAAAUAUUUUUUAAGAAAAUAUUGCUUAAAAUUUAGAGAAAAUAACACGAUAAGUGAAAAAAAUAAUAAAAAAGAAGAUAAAAAUAACAAUAAUAAUAACACAAAUUUUCAAAACUUUAGCAUAAAAGUUUGAGAUUGAGAGAGGGGUGGAGACAGAGAAAGAGAGAGAAGAUUGCUCGUCGAAAUUUUAAAUUGGAUAUUUAAGAUUCUAAAUUUAUAUAUAUAUUACUAUAUAUAUAUAUAGUAUAUUAUAUAUAUAUAUAUAUAUAUAUAUAUAAUAUAUUAUAUAUAUAUAUAUAUUAUAUAUAUAUAUAUGAAGUGAGGCUAUAUGCUAUAGGAAGUACGGAGGCUUUCGUGCUUCCAGCUUGUUUCGAUGUUGCGAUUUCGAAUCGUAUCGGCUCCGUUAAACUUGAUCUAGAGUAUUUGGAUACCUAGAAAAUAAAUUUUAUUAUUUUCGAUACAUUUGCCUAGUGAUCGAAUGGGCUCAAAAUCAACAAUUUCAAUGGCCGUAGUGAGACCGUUUGCAAGUUUAACGGUGAAAUAUUCAAAUCACGUGAAAUUUUGCAUAGAAAAUUCUUUAUACUAUAUAAACAAGAUCAAUAUCUUUGAUUUAAAAUUUUAAUGUCAUAUUAGUACAUUUGUAAGAUUUUAUUUUCAGCCGCUGUGAUUUUGAGGCCCUUCGUUCACUAGGCAAUGAUAUCGUAAAAUCAUAAAAUUUAUUUUCUAGCUACUUUAAAUACUCUAGAUCAGUUUAUGGAGCCGAUCGACGAUUCGAAGUCCAAAUAUCGAAAACGAGUCUGGAAGCACGGAAGGCUCCGGCCUUCCGAUAGCAUAAUAGCCUCACUCUCUAUAAUAUAUAUAUAUAUAUAUAUAUAUAUAUAUAUAUAAUAUAUAUAUAUAUAUAUAUAUAUAUUUUUUUUUUUUUUUUUUUUUUUUUUUUUGAGAGAUAGGUAGCACGCUACCUCCUUCAUUUAUUUUAUUUAAAAUAAACUUAGCUGAAAAUGUGAAUCAAUUAGGAUUCGAAUUUGGGAACUCGAUACAAUUACCAAGCCCUUUAACACUUGCUCUAGACAAUCGGUUAUACUAAUAUUUAUUUUAGUUCUAUAGAAUAUCAACAAUAUUGUGUUUUAGUCAUUUUCUUAGAAUAAAAAUUAUUUCUUGUUCCAAUUUAUUUGUACAUCCGUACACAGCUAGUCCGUAAGUCCUAAAUCCAAAACUUACUAUAAAGAUAAUAUAUUGAAAUAGGAGAUGCGAUAAAAGAUCGAUAAAUGUAUGGUACAUAUAAAUUAUAUAUAUAUAUAUAUAUAUAUAUAUAUGCACACUUAGUGUGUAGGUAAUGAUUUUAUCAUCUAUACUGAUAAACUAAGUGAAACCUUUUUAAGAGCUUAGAAUCCUGAUAUUGCAUAGUUCAGCUAGGAUAUGAAGCAGGAGUCGACUAAGAAUAAGCAAUUAGCAUUAGCAGUUAAUUAUACUUUGGUAAAAAUAUAUAAUACUCACCUCACUUCGCCUAUUUUGACAUAACUUAUUUACUUUUAAAAUUUUUGAUUUUACAGUUUAAUAUUUUAAUUUAUUUGAUUUGAGCUAAUAAUGAUAUUUUAACUUCAAAAUUUAAAUGAAUCAUUUAUCUUUACGAGUUUAGUUAAUAUAUUUUAUUUAAUUCACGUAACUAUAAAUUUAUUAAAAUAAGUGUUGGGUUUGAUGAGAUCAAAAUCACUCAUUAGCCGGUUAGCUUUUAUUUAGGUUUGGUUCAAUAACUCAUGAAGUAGGUUAGCAGGUAUUUAGUUUGGGCUUCAGUUAACCCGUUAGCAUAUUGGGCCAAGUGGGUUGUGAUAAGAGAUAUUUUUAUUUGCUAAAGUAUAGCGUUAGUUCUCAUUUUUGGCUAGUUCGUAUAGAGAGAGUUGGAGAAGGAGCUUUCUUAUUCUUCUUGCUUGAUUUAAAACUUUCAAGGUUGAUUUGAAAAUUUUAAAAGACAUUCCGAAACAGGACCCGAGAUCAGAAAGGCUUGAAAGGAGGUGCAGUUAGAAAGUUUUUUUCCUAGUUGAAACAUUGUAUAUUUGUAUGCCAUCGUAAUAAAUGAGUAAUCUCUAACCAAAUUUUAUAAUCUCUUCAUUUGACGUUCUGCAUGUCCAUGGAUGUAGUCCGGUUUGGAUGAACCACGUAAAUUUUCUUGUGUUAUUGUGGUUGUAUUUGGAUUUUCUCUUUCCAUUUCGUUUACUCUCAUUUUUACGCUUCUUAAUUGUGGGUGAUUUAGAUAUAUCAUAUUUAUUUAUUUGUGUGGUUAAUAUCUUGAUAGUGCGGAUUUCAUCAUUGCCGCGCUAUAGUAAGCAAGUAGCUUAAAUUUUCUAUCUGAAGAGUUAUCAAAUUAUUGAAUCAAAUAAAUGAAAAGUUAGAUGCUAAAAUCAAAAUUUUGAAUUCGGGUAGUUGAAUCAAACUAGUCUAUAGUUGAAAUGAGUUUUAUAUAUUUCAACUUCAUACUUUUUAGACCCUAUUCUCACAUGCAACUCAACAGAAAGCACAAAUUGCAUAACCAAACCAGAAUGAAAUGUGCUUCCAGAAAUUUUUCAUUUGAAAUAACCCAGUACAUGUACAGCCAACAGCCACAAAGCCAAGAAUGCAUAAGAAGGCUAUUAGCAGCUACCUGUCACAGGACAUCAUUUUUUUUUUUUUUCUUCUGAUUUCUCCUUUAUAAUUAUCCAAAUUGCUAAAGGAGAUUAUUAUUGUUAGAGAUUUUACUGGGCUUUUUAGAAGCAUCUCUAUGGGUAUCGAGACAGGACGCGGAUGCUGAACAGUCAAGAGUGAGUUUCUAAAAGAGUAAUAAGUGCAGUCUUGAGGAUGUUAGAUAGAUAGAAUAGAAGUAACAAACUUGUAAUCUCAUAACAACCUGGACGAGUCUAUCCUAUGCCGGCCAACAAUAGUAUAGAUAAGAAUAAGGGUUUGUUGUAAAUAGGUUGUUAGGCCAAGAUAUGGAUCGGCUUGACUGGUUGUUAUUCUAUGAAAAUCUUGGCGCGCUUUGUCGCCCUAUAUUAACACGCAGGCAGCGCAGGGAGAAGGUGCGACUGCUUCCACCAAACUGCUCUGCUCCUCUGAUAACUUUCAUGGUAUCAGAGCCUAGGAUAGAUACAAUCUAAAUCAACAUGGCCGGCACCUCUUCCUCCUCGCCUGGUCUUGCUUCCAUGAUCUCUCAUCCCGUACAAGAGAAGCUCGCCAAGAACAAUCAUGCUACCUGGAAAGCCCAGGUCCUCGCCACAAUUCGUGGUGCUCGUCUCGAAGGAUAUCUCACUGGCAAGGCUGUUAAGCCUCCCGUGCAGAUCGAUGGCAAAGACGGUGACAAGAUCAUCAAGGUGGACAACCCCCUGUAUGAAGAUUGGCUGGCGGCUGAUCAGCAGGUUCUCAGCUACCUGCUCGCCUCCGUGUCCAAGGAAGUUCUGGCUCAGGUUGCUGCAAAGCAAUCUGCGGCCGAAGUCUGGACGGCAAUUGAAGUAAUGUUUGCGUCCAAGACGCGAGCUCGCGCGGUGAAUACGCGCCUUGCCCUAGCCACCGCUCAAAAAGGAAACAUGACGGUGACUGAGUACGUUGGGAAGAUGCGUGCUCUUGGGGACGAGAUGGCUGCAGCAGGGCGGCCACUUGAAGAUGAUGAGCUGGUUGAGUACAUCCUCACCGGCCUUGAUGAAGAAUAUGACCCGGUCGUGUCCUCCGUGAUUGGCCGGUCAGAUGCAAUCUCAGUUAGCGAGCUAUAUUCUCAGAUGCUUGCAUUUGAGACUCGACUGAGCCUUCGCAACUCCGGUGGGCACUCCUCUGGAUCCUCCGCCAACGUUGCCAAUCGGCGUGGGCGAGGGGGGUUCGGGCGCUCCGGCCGUGGAGGUCGUGGUGGCCGCUUCAACAAUGCUCCGGCAAAUAGGGGUGGUCGUGGACCUAACCCCAACAACCCUCAUCAAGGAGGGAAUGGCGCCCACAACAGCAACAACUCCUCCGAUGAUCGCCCGCGAUGUCAAGUGUGUCGCAAGUUUGGGCACACGGCGGACAGGUGCUGGCACAGGUACGAUGAAAAUUUUGUUCCAGAUCAAAGAUAUGCUGGUACUGCUGCCUCAGGAUCCUAUGGUGUCGACACAAACUGGUACACUGAUACCGGCGCCACCGACCACAUCACUGGUGAGUUAGAGAAGCUCUCGCUCAGGGAGAAAUACAAUGGCGGCGACCAGAUUCACACAGCGAGUGGAACAGGUAUGAAUAUUAGUCAUACUGGUAGUACCAAAAUUCACACCCAGCAUCGAGAUCUAUGUCUAAAUCACGUCUUACAUGUCCCGCAAGCCACAAAAAACCUUGUGUCUGUUCAUCGUCUGGCCUCAGACAAUAAUGUUUUUCUUGAAUUUCACCCCAAUUUCUUUUUGAUUAAGGAUCGGGACACGAGGAGCACACUGCUUAAAGGGAGAUGCCACAAAGGCCUUUAUCCCCUGCCAUCCAUCCUUGGAAAACAAGCUCUUGGAGUCACCACCAAACCAUCCUUUGACAGGUGGCAUAAUCGCCUUGGUCAUCCUGCGGCCCCCAUAGUUCAGCGAGUUAUUAGUAGUUUCAAUCUCCCGUGUCAUGCUGAGUCCAAUAAACAGGUCGUUUGUGAUGCUUGCCAACAGGCAAAGAGCCAUCAGCUACCUUAUCCUAAGUCGUCUCAUGUAUCGAGUCAUCCUUUAGAACUAGUUUUUUCAGAUGUAUGGGGGCCUGCACCCAACUCUAUUAGCAAGUACAAGUACUAUGUGAGUUUCAUUGAUGAUUAUAGCAAAUUUACUUGGAUUUAUCUAUUAAAAUUCAAGUCUGAAGUGUUUCAAAAAUUUCAUGAUUUUCAAGCCAUGGUUGAACGCCUUUUUGAUCGCAAAAUCAUCACUAUGCAAACUGAUUGGGGUGGUGAAUAUGAGAAGCUCCAUUCCUUUUUUACUAAAAUAGGCAUCUCCCAUCAUGUUUCUUGUCCUCAUGCACACCAACAAAAUGGAUCUGCCGAGCGUAAACAUAGACAUAUUGUAGAGGUUGGGCUAUCUCUCCUUGCUCAGGCUCGAAUGCCUCUCAAAUUUUGGGAUGAAGCUUUUCUAGCCGCCACUUUUCUCAUAAAUCGUACACCAAGCAAAGUAAUCUCCUAUGCUACACCUCUUGAGCGUCUAUAUAAAGUCAAACCUGACUAUUCCUCUCUACGGAUUUUUGGGUGUGCAUGUUGGCCACAUCUCCGACCUUACAAUCAUCAUAAGCUUCAGUUCCGAUCCAAGGAAUGUGUAUUCCUUGGGUACAGCAACAUGCACAAAGGGUUUAAAUGUCUUGACCCUGCUUCUGGCCGUGUUUAUAUCUCUCGUGAUGUUAUAUUUGAUGAAAAUGUCUUUCCUUUCUCUAAAUUACAUUCCAAUGCAGGAGCCACACUACGGUCUGAAAUCCUGCUCCUUCCUACACAGCUUCUCCCACAUAGUCCAACCUCGGCUGGGCCUGAAUCUGUUGGGAAUCCAGUGAUUAAUAUUUUGCCUGCUAAUGAUUUUUCUGGAGAAAUAUUUGGUACACAGGAAGGCGCUCAGGCCACAGAGGAUCUGGUCUCACCUACCGAAGCUGCUCUGCCGACCGAAUCCUCCCCGGGAUCGCCACCUCGUACGGCAGCAGGCUCUCCCAUACAGGACCUGGGUGCGUCGGCUCCGCCCCCACAGGACCUGGCUGAAGGGGGCACUGAUGCAGCAGCCGCCAAUUCUGCGCCGUCGAUAAUCACGCCUGGAUCUUCUGCGUCGCCGCCAUUGUCUGUGGAACCGGCGCCAGUGUUCACCGAAGCAGUACAACAAGAAACUCAGCCGCGACCUCGCACCAGACUUCAAGCUGGAGUCAGAAAACCUAAGGUAUAUAGAGAUGGCACUAUUCGCUAUGGUCUCUUUACUGCAACGGGUGAACCCCAGAGUCUUGAAGAAGCACUAGGAAAUAAAAAUUGGAAAUCUGCAAUGGAUGACGAAUACAAUGCUUUGAUGCAAAAUAAAACAUGGCACUUAGUUCCACCUCAAAAAGGUCGUAACAUAAUAGAUUGUAAGUGGGUCUAUAAAGUCAAACGUAAAGCUGAUGGCAGUUUGGAUAGAUAUAAGGCCAGACUUGUUGCAAAAGGUUUUAAGCAAAGAUAUGGUAUAGAUUAUGAGGACACAUUCAGCCCUGUUAUCAAGGCAGUCACUAUUAGAGUGAUUUUAUCUAUAGCAGUAUCUAGAGGGUGGAGUCUUCGACAACUUGAUGUUAAGAAUGCUUUUCUGCAUGGUCUGUUGGAACAAGAGGUCUAUAUGAAACAACCACCAGGCUAUGAAGAUAAAACCAGGGUUAAUUAUGUGUGUAAGCUAGAUAAGGCUCUAUAUGGGCUAAAGCAGGCUCCAAGGGCAUGGUAUUCAAGGUUAAGUGAGAAAUUACAAAGUCUUGGUUUUACUUCUUCAAAGGCCGACACUUCUCUGUUCUUCUUUAAUAAGGGGGGUGUUAUUAUAUUUGUGCUAGUAUAUGUUGAUGACAUCAUAGUAGCCAGCUCAACGCAGAAUGCAACAGAUUUGUUACUAAAGCAACUUGGUCAAGAAUUUGCCCUUAAAGAUUUGGGAACACUUAAUUAUUUCUUGGGGAUAGAAGUAAAUCCAGUACAUGGUGGUAUAGUUCUGACGCAGGAAAAAUAUGCAUCAGAUCUGCUAAAAAGGGUUGGCAUGUCAAAAUGCAAGGGUGUACCUACACCCCUACCAGCCGAUGAAAAAUUAUCUUCGGUCAAGGGAUCUCCUUUGGGAUCUAAUGAUGCAACUAAUUACAGAAGUAUAGUUGGUGCUCUCCAAUAUUUGACACUAACAAGGCCAGACAUUGCAUUCUCUGUUAACAAGGUAUGUCAGUUUCUACACAGUCCUACUGUUGAUCAUUGGGCAGCAGUCAAAAGAAUUCUGAGAUACUUAAAACAGUCCAUCAAGGUAGGGCUGAAAGUUAGGAAGUGCAGUUCAUUGUUGAUUAGUGCCUUCUCGGAUGCUGAUUGGGCCGGAUAUAUUGAUGAUAGGAGAUCUACAGGAGGUUUUGCUGUAUUUCUGGGAUCAAACUUAGUGUCAUGGAGUGCACGGAAACAGCCUACUGUGUCAAGAUCGAGCACUGAAGCUGAAUAUAAGGCAGUAGCUAAUGCAACGGCAGAAGUAAUGUGGAUACAGACGCUAUUACAGGAAAUUGGUGUUAAUGCACCACGAGCUGCUAAGCUCUGGUAUGACAAUAUUGGGGCAAAGUACCUUUCUGAAAAUCCUGUGUUUCAUGCAAGAACUAAGCAUAUUGAAGUUGAUUACCACUUCCUGCGAGAACGUGUUACAAGGAAGCUUCUUGACAUUGACUUUGUUCCAUCAGGAGAUCAGGUGGCAGAUGGUUUUACAAAGGCCCUUCCUAUACAGAAGUUAGAAAAAUUCAAACACAAUCUCAACCUAGUCCGGUUGUGAUUGAGGGGGGAUGUUAGAUAGAUAGAAUAGAAGUAACAAACUUGUAAUCUCAUAACAACCUGGACGAGUCUAUCCUAUGCCGGCCAACAAUAGUAUAGAUAAGAAUAAGGGUUUGUUGUAAAUAGGUUGUUAGGCCAAGAUAUGGAUCGGCUUGACUGGUUGUUAUUCUAUGAAAAUCUUGGCGCGCUUUGUCGCCCUAUAUUAACACGCAGGCAGCGCAGGGAGAAGGUGCGACUGCUUCCACCAAACUGCUCUGCUCCUCUGAUAACUUUCAUAUUUUACUAUUAAUUAGCUAUAAAUAUUAUAUUAAAAUUUAAACUACCAGAAGACAAUAUUUUAAUAUUUUUGUUCAACAAUAUUAAAAUCUUUUUGACAAAUAAGUAAAUAAAUUUUGAAAAUAUAUUUUGAUUUUUGAGAGGUUUAUACGUACCAUCUAGGUACGUCGAUAGCAUUGCUCUAUGCGCAAAUACUAUCCACUUGUACUAUUUGAUGUCUCGUUAUUAUGAUAUCUCUCUCUCUCUCUCUCUCUCUCCUUAUUUAAUUUCAUGCACGGAAUUACUAUUUGGUGGGGGAGUAGUAAUGGGACCCAAGUUUGAGCUACCUACAAGGUAGUGGUGGGAACGAGUCUUGCUAUUUUUCUCCUGCUUUUCUUUUUUGUAUUUAAAGGGUCAGCUGAUAAAUUCACUAACAAAUAGAAAUAUUAAUUCGAAUACAUUCUAUUAUUUUGAAGAAAAAAAAACACUACCAUUUCAUAUACGGACGAGUCUAGCUUAUUAACUAAUUCAAUGAAUGAUGCAGUAGGAGAGGAGAGCUUUCCACGACUCGACCUACCAACGUAUAUAUACGGAGCACCACCGUUGGCAUUUAUUUAUUAAUUUAUUAAUUAACAUGGACUAGCUAGCGGAACCUCUCCCCCCUCGCUUAUUUAUUUAUUUUUUUUUAGAACCCCUUACUUGUUCUCUUUUCCUUUGAUUAUGCACAACUAUUAUCUGGGCUCCACGAUGUCUCGACAAUGAUGAUUAUGAUUACUUUCACUAUCUGUACGUCUGAGUUAUAAGUGAUGUAUAAGCUCUCUAUGGCAUAAAUACUAAGAAAAGGAAGUGGUUGGAAUGGGCCUCAUGAGUGCAUCGUAGAUCUCUCUGGGGCUUUCGACUUCCAUGCAGAGUCCAACUCAUCCCCUUCACCAAUGGUUUCUGAGCCCAGCCAACAAAGUAAGCUAGAGCCCGUACGUUGCAGGCCUUCUCCGAUGGCACUUAUUAGGCCAAGGCCCGGCCCGUCAUCCUAAGCUCUACUACCAUUUUGGGCUACUGGACCUCUAUGCUAUAUAAUGGGUCAGUAAAGAAUAGAGCCUGUCUAGGCUGAGCCGUUUGGAUCAUUGGGCUGAGGAUCUGCCCGCUGUCAACUUGACGAAUAGUUAGUUUGGUUUGUUCAGUCCAAUUCUUCCUUGCUAAUAAUUAAUUUAUUCUCAACACACACACACACACACACACACACACACACACACACAGAUAUAUCUAUAUAUAUAUAUAUAUAUGUUCUACAUCAUUUUACAAAUUAACUGCCUUAAUCUUAUAAAUUAUAUACAUAUGCUUCUAUCCUCAAAAUAUACACAUUUCUCCGCACUAAUUAACUAUCCUCGUGUGCAAAUAAUAAUAACUGUUCUCUUCCCUCUCUAGUUCCUAUUCCUGUUCAUCAUUCAUUUAUUAUUUUGAUUGAUCGUUCAGAGUGGGAUCAUUGAAUUACGUACUAAGCGACUCCAAAUCUUCCGCUCUUAUAAGAGGACUAACCCCGCAUCGCCAAAAAACCAGGAGCGAUACAUUAAUUACAAGUUUUACGAUUGAUUAAGAGAGAAGUGCUCGCUCGUACGUUUUAAUCUGGGUUAGUAAUUAAUACGGAUACGCACAACAAUAAUUAAUUACGCCGCACCACAAUACAUCCAUAAACACAUUCCCCUUCACCGUCUUAAUUUUAUCUGCAUAUUCCGUCAUCCGUUGAAUGCAUGCAUGCAUGCAUGCAUGGAUACUUGUGUUAUUUGUUAAUUCCUCCAAACUCAAUCACCGAAAAGGUGCCAAUUAUAAAUCUCUCUCUCUCUCUCUCUCUCUCUCUCUCUCUCUCUCUCUCUCUCUCUCUCUCUCCCCCAUAUAUAUUGCCUCUCUCCGAUUCCACCAUGUUGCCGGCCAACUGGGAAUUAUUCUCACUUUCUCUCUUCUUCUUUAUCUAUCUUUUCUUACACCCAUGCAUAUUCUCUUGCAGUUAAUUAUAAUUAUAUAAGUACUCAAAAUAUAAGUUAAGCAGGCCCGCUCUUUUCCAUGAGUACGGACGUCUUCGACCAUGCCGAGGACAACGAAUUCGUGUGCGUGGAGGAACAAGAUAUAUUUGAGUGGCCUCGCAUGAUACAUGACGACUCACUCCCUCAACUCCUUAGGUGCAUUAUAUAUAUGCGAUCUUAAUCUGUGUUCGUUUCAUUUCGAUCGCACUUGUUUAAUAACAGAUCGAGCUUGGUAAUUUGUAUACAUUUGCAGUGAGGCAGAUGCACUCGCCCUUCCCAAGAUCAUCGACCAGUUCGAUGAUGAACUCUCCCAGCUUUGCUCAUCCGGCAUCUUCUCCUACCAAUGGUAUCCGUCACAAACUAUCGAUGAUGUGACAAUUGACGAUAUCGACCUUGAUUCUUUCUCGUGGAAUAAUCAAAGCUUACCGUCCAAUUCUGAUGGCGAUGAUCCAAACAAAGAAGUGGCUGUGUGCAAGGUUAUAGUACCUAGCAGCAGUGGUGGUGCGAGCAUUAGCAUGCGAGAAGAGAGAGUCGUCAGGAGAAGAGCGACGGGGCGGUCGAGGCUGAGUAACAUCGGAUUCGAAGAGUUAAGGAACUACUUCUACAUGCCAAUAACGAAAGCUGCAAAGGAGAUGAACGUGGGUUUGACUGUGCUGAAGAAGAGGUGCAGGGAGCUGGGCAUUCCAAGGUGGCCUCACAGGAAGAUGAAGAGCUUGAGCUCUCUCAUCCACAACGUUCAGGUAUAUCAUUAUUAUUAUUAUUUUAUUAUAUACAUUAAUCUACGUAUCAGUAUAUACAAUAUUCAACAACAUUUUUCUCAAAAAAAAAAAAAAUUCAACAACACCAUUCUCUUUCAUCUCAAAAAACAAAUUAAGCCAUUCCCCUCUCUAGUUUAUAAGAUUGAUGUAUCAAUUAUACCGGCCGUCUCUCGCAAAAGUGGCAAAAGGGCUUGAUGGUUGGUUCCCGAGACCCAAAUUCGAAUCCUAGUUGAUUCACAUUUCCAGCUAAGAUGUAUCAAUUAUAUAACAUGCUACCGUUCUUAGAACAAGUGGCAAAAAACUUGGUGGUUGGUACUCGAGACCCAAGUUCGAAUUCUAGUUGAUUCACAUUUCUAGCUAAGUUUAUUUCUAAAUGAAAUAAACGAAGCGGGUAGUGUGCUACCUAUUUCUAUAUAUAUAUAUAUAUAACCUGCUCAAUUAUGAUGCACAUAUACUUGUAUCCUAGUUUAUGACGGAACGGAACAUUCUAUAUAUAUAUAUAUAUAUCUCUGUAGUUAUUAUAACUGAAGAUGGAACAGUAUAUAUAUGAUGGGUACUAAUAUUUCUUCAACAUGUGCAAUCUAUGGUUGUCUAAUUUAAUCUAAUUAGGAGUUGGGAAAGGGUUCACCAGAUUCAGAGGAGAGCAUCCAGAAAGAACUGGAGAUGUUGGAACUACACAGGCAGCUGAUGGAGGAGAACCCAGAUGUUCAACUCACGGAGAGAACGAAGAAACUGAGGCAGGCAUGCUUCAAGGCUAAUUACAAGAAGCGGCGGGCAUUGCAGCAUCCUUGUAUACUUUGAUCCUCACCCUAAUCAUAAAUUCAAUUUACUCCUAAAUCAAUCACAAGUGUGAAUAUUUUGCGUUGUUAUAUAGUACGUACGUAAUACCUACAUAUUAUAUCUUAUUAUUAUGUGAGGUAUAGUCCCAAUCUAUAAAUCACCAUCAUGUGUUGCAUUAGAUCGUGAAGUUUCCGGAUCAUAUGCUUCAGAUUAGAUCUCUCAUGGUGCUGAACAUAUUAAGGGGGAUAACCCCUGUUUUAUUUGAAAAUAUUGAAAACAUAUAUAUAUAUAUAUAUAUAUAUAUAUAUAUAUAUAUAUAUUUCUGGCAGAUUAAGCUUUUGCUAGAAACAAAUAGUUAUUCCGCAUUGCUAUAAAAAAGUCUCACUUUCUAGACUUUUGGACAAAACGAUAUUGGUUUUAACCAUCACUGAUUUGUGCACACAUACAGGCAUCCAAUUAUACAACCCAAAGUUUUCUAACAGAUUUAUACUUUCAAAGACAGAAGAACGUAUUAUAAUUCGCAGCACCACAUGUGUUGAAAGUACAGUAGUAAGUAAAGGGCAUAUGUCCCUGAUCUUCCGUAAGGAGUUCAACAGAGAGACGCGCACUAGCUGCAUAUAUAUCGACAGAUACAGACUCUACAGUAAUUAGUAAGUUUGCUUGUAUACAGCAAAAAAGUUUAAUUAAUUAGCCAAUGCUCCACUAACCCGCAUUGAGGGGUAUCUAUUUGUCACCUUCAAAAAACUUGAGUUUUCCGAGCCCUUCUCCGCGAAACGACCUGCUUCAGGCUCUCAUAAAUGUUGGUCUGCGUCCACAAACAAUGAAAAUAUAAUUUGGUCACAAAUCAACAAUCACUUCACAAAUGAAACGGUGAGUCUACAGCAUGGGGUAUAGUAAAUGCGCAUAGUGGAAGGGUCGCCAGUUUCGUAAGCUGGUGAAAGGAAAUAGGGCCUCGGGUCCAUUAUUAUCACGUCAUGUCUUAUCAAGGGUCAAGUCCUUGAGCAGCCUCAGUCGGUUGGUACAAAACAGAGCUACCAAAUGGCCAAAUUAAUCAAAGAAUCAAAAGAAAAAUUAACAACAAGAAAAAUAUUUGGAAGCGUGAAUUACUCCUAAUUAAUUUUCAUCCUCCUGCAUGAGAUGCAUGCAGUAGUAACAAAUAAUAAUUUGUCUGCAAGUUACAUAAUUCUGAGAAAAAUAUGCUAGAAGAUAACUUUUACUCUUUAUGCCUGAAUCAAUAGGUGCAUUGGUUAAAUAAAUGGAUUAAGUGAACUAAUGUAUAUUCUUUUCUUCUUUUUUUUUUUUUUUUUUUGAGAGAGAAAGAAAUGCAACAUGCUAUGUGCUUUGUUUAUUUUUUAAAAAAUUAAACUUAGUUGUGAAUAUAAAAUAAUUAAACUUCAAACUUAAAAUCUCAAAUUCAACCACUAAAUUUUUUAUUAUUUGUGUUAGAGACGGUCGGUAACUACUGUAUACUCUUAGGGCUUGUUUGGUUCAAGGGUGGAAUUGGAAUGGAUAAUGAAAUGGGAAUGAAUUAGAAUGAUAAUUGGAAUGACCCACUCUCCCAAGACGUUGAUUUAUUUGUGGAUUGCGAAUUAAAAUGAGUUAUUCACAUUUCAUUAUUUGGUUCGUAUAAAUUAAAAAAAUUAUAGGAUACUAUAAUACUAAUUUUACUCUCAAAUAUAAAUUUAUAUUAUUUAAAAUUUAUGAAAAAUGUAAUACUAUUCUCUAAUAAGUUUUUCAAAAAAAAAUAUCAAAUUUAUUUUUAAAAACUUUUAUUAAUGUGGGUUAGGAAUAGGGUUUUGAGAGAGUAUAGAUUUUUUUUUUUUUUUGAUGAGAAAGGGGCGGAAAGAAGGAGGGUGAGAUGGUCACAUGGGCUUCGAGAACUUAGUAGGUUUUCGGAAUGAAAUCUCAAUCCGAACUAAAAGACCGGAAUCAAGUUGAAGGCUAAUGGGUCAUUCCCAUUGCAGUUCGGAAUAGAAAUCCUAAACGAUUCAUGCGAACCAAAUAAAAUUAACCGAAUUUGAUCAAAUCGAUUUUCAUUCCAUAUCCAAAAUAGAUGAACCAAACCAGCCCUUAGUGAUUUUUAUCUGGAAGGAGUCGUAAGACGGGACGGAAUCUGUAUGCAAAAUUUUGAUCUCCAGCCUCCUCCAGCCUAGACAUGCUAACAGUAAGUCGUUUAGGAUGAGGUUAGAAUUAUGGGGCCGGUAGGGACAAUACCGAAAAAGAAAAAAAAAAAAAGAAGGGAAAAGAAGAUUAAUUUGCUCUGCUACUACUUAGACCGGACCAUGGCGUGGCAACGACAUGAUGUCAAAGAAAAAUUAAUUUAAUAGAAAUGGCAUGUUACGCGUUUGAAAGUUAAUAGCUUGUCGGAUAGAAUUAGGUGGAGAAAAUUGAAGAGAGCAAAAACAUAAACAAAGAAAUCUAAUCGAAUUAGCUGAGCUAGUGUUGGAAAUGAGAAAAAGAGAGAGAAAAAGAAAAAGCAUUAAUAAAGAUUCAAUACAAUUAGGACCUGGUUCGAUAAUUUAUUAGUUAAGAGUAUCAUUUUAAUACUAUAAAUAAAUUAAGCGCUAGCUUAUAAGUCUUAGCUCUUUUAAUAUUUCUAAAUUGCACUUGCAAUCUUUACGAAAGAAAAAAACUACAAUUCAAAAGUUUUUAUAUGUUGUUGGCGAUGAUUGUUUGUAACAGUAAAUAAUUUUAAAGCACCAGCGGGGAAAAAAAAAAAAAAAACAUGUUAAAUUUUGUAUAGUAUAAAAAUAAUGAUUGUAGGAAGAAUUAACAGUACGUUACUAAAUUACUAGCCAGGCGUUAAGUAUUGAUGGUGGCAAUGAGUUAGUUACCCAGAGGUGAGAGGUGGUGCGGAGGGAUAAUACAUUAGCGAGACUCCUCUUCCGGGUGCUCCCGAACCUGGUGAUCCGCGCUUUCCGCUCUUCGAACUCCUCCGGCGGUGCGUGCUCGUUGAGAGCGUAGGGACCAUCGAGGACGGCGGUGGGGGAGUACUCCUCGCCCUUCGUCUCCGCCGCCGCCAACGCCCCAUGCAGCGCCGCCAUCCCGGGGGGGAGUUCCAGCUGGCUCCUGAUCCUGCUGCUGCUGCUGCUGCUGCUGCUGCUGCUGUUCUUCUUCCAGGGAUAGGGAUGCGGGGUCCUCCUGGCAUCGAUGAGAUCAUCUACAAGCGGCGGGGGGUCGUCCCUGUCCCUCUUGGGCCUGCCGGGGGCCUCCUCCCAGAGGAAGGGGACGGAGGCCGGCAGGUGGAGAGGGGGCGUGGCCAAACCCGGAGGCUCGGGGCGGAGGCUCGGGAGGGAGUAGAAGCACAGCUUCGGCGGAGUNGGGAAAAGAAGAUUAAUUUGCUCUGCUACUACUUAGACCGGACCAUGGCGUGGCAACGACAUGAUGUCAAAGAAAAAUUAAUUUAAUAGAAAUGGCAUGUUACGCGUUUGAAAGUUAAUAGCUUGUCGGAUAGAAUUAGGUGGAGAAAAUUGAAGAGAGCAAAAACAUAAACAAAGAAAUCUAAUCGAAUUAGCUGAGCUAGUGUUGGAAAUGAGAAAAAGAGAGAGAAAAAGAAAAAGCAUUAAUAAAGAUUCAAUACAAUUAGGACCUGGUUCGAUAAUUUAUUAGUUAAGAGUAUCAUUUUAAUACUAUAAAUAAAUUAAGCGCUAGCUUAUAAGUCUUAGCUCUUUUAAUAUUUCUAAAUUGCACUUGCAAUCUUUACGAAAGAAAAAAACUACAAUUCAAAAGUUUUUAUAUGUUGUUGGCGAUGAUUGUUUGUAACAGUAAAUAAUUUUAAAGCACCAGCGGGGAAAAAAAAAAAAAAAACAUGUUAAAUUUUGUAUAGUAUAAAAAUAAUGAUUGUAGGAAGAAUUAACAGUACGUUACUAAAUUACUAGCCAGGCGUUAAGUAUUGAUGGUGGCAAUGAGUUAGUUACCCAGAGGUGAGAGGUGGUGCGGAGGGAUAAUACAUUAGCGAGACUCCUCUUCCGGGUGCUCCCGAACCUGGUGAUCCGCGCUUUCCGCUCUUCGAACUCCUCCGGCGGUGCGUGCUCGUUGAGAGCGUAGGGACCAUCGAGGACGGCGGCGGGGGAGUACUCCUCGCCCUUCGUCUCCGCCGCCGCCAACGCCCCAUGCAGCGCCGCCAUCCCGGGGGGGAGUUCCAGCUGGCUCCUGAUCCGCCUGCUGCUGCUGCUGCUGCUGUUCUUCUUCCAGGGAUAGGGAUGCGGGGUCCUCCUGGCAUCGAUGAGAUCAUCUACAAGCGGCGGGGGGUCGUCCCUGUCCCUCUUGGGCCUGCCGGGGGCCUCCUCCCAGAGGAAGGGGACGGAGGCCGGCAGGUGGAGAGGGGGCGUGGCCAAACCCGGAGGCUCGGGGCGGAGGCUCGGGAGGGAGUAGAAGCACAGCUUCGGCGGAGUGCUGUAGCAGCUGCUGGGAUCGGCGCUGUUACGGCUCGCCAUGGAUGGAUGGACGGAUCGCGAGAGGACGAUCGAGGAGAGACGGUCGGUCGUUCGUUCGUUCGUUCGUUCGUUGUUGGGGGGUGAACUUCAACAGAAAUUAAGAAAGAAAUGCUCCUGCUUUAUUUAUAUAUAUAUAUAAGAGAGGUCGACGAUAUGACGGCGGGGCCCAACUUAAUUAACUGCGCAUGUACAAGUGUAUAUAAGUAUAACCCGACGCAUGCAUAAUAAUAACAUAUAGAAAAAAAAAGAGGCGCGGAGGGAGGUGUUGUGCGCGCGUAUGUAAAUGCUCGUAUAAAUGUGUGGUGCAGGUACGCAGCAUGAGUAAACGCUCCGUUUUCCGUUCUUCUAUUCUAUUCUAGAGAGGAAAAAGCAAGUCAUGCAUUAUUCUUGUCGAGAUAGGAUAAAAAUGUGAUGACGUACUCACGAGAAAAGCAGGCCUCAAUUUCAGUUUUCCUUUUUAUCAUCUUUAUUUACGUGCCUUCUUAAUUACGGCAGCGCCGAACCGGUUUGGACGUUUUGAAUUUCCGCCGCGCUCUCCCCGUCUACGAUCGAGUUGAUUGUUAUCCCCACUUUAGCAAGUGCCGAGAAGAGAAACUUUUUCUUCCAGAUUUUUUUUUUUUUUUUAAUCUUCAUUAUGUUUGGCUAAAAAUAUGUUGGGUGAAAAUUAGUUGGGAUAGGAGUUGGAUAAGUAAUUCUUUUCUCUAAUAAAUGGGAGUUCUCUAAUAAUAAUACGGAAAGGUCAACUAUCGAACACCAGCGAGAUGACUAUUGGUCAUACUAUACCGUCUUCCAAAGGCUAUUUGAACAACAUUAAUAAGAGCACCCACCGUUCCGAAGAACUAUCGUACCCACCAUUCAAAGAAGAAUAAUAAGAGAAUUAUAAUUCUUAAAAAAAAAAUAGUAUACUGCUGCUUUAUUUAUUUAUUUAUUUAAAAGUUGAAUUAAACUAUAAAUUGAGACAACCGGACCUCAUAGAAAAAAAAAAAAAUCUACUUAAUACAGUAUAUAAUAAUAAUAAUUCUUCAAAAGUUAGUGCCCCUGCGUGAGGGAGAUCCGUGCAUCAGACAACGCCGUUGAUGUGCACCGAGGCCUACCGCAUUUAAGAAUCCGCAGCAUGAAUUUCACACUUAGGUUUCAUUUUAGGUGAUCUCCCAUGAUCAACUAACAAAAUCAUGAAAUAAAUACCAAUCAAAUGCAACUACGGGCGCACUUUCUUACGCCUCUCGGAGAGAGUACCGAUGAAAACGGAAAGAGAAAAUGCAAUUCAUAACACAUUAUGCCGUAUCACUGGAAAAGAGAGGUAGGCAAAAUAAGAAGAGGAGAUCUACCUCAGUAAACAUACAAAACAUGUUCUUAAGGCCGCAUGGUACUCCAAUAAAUUCCAGGGAUACAAAUUAAAUACAACAACAGGACAAUGUCGAGUAACGUGAGUAACGUGACCAUCAAACCUUUUGACAAGGGUAAUAUUUUGGAAUUUAAUCUCGGUUAAGAUCCGUCCUACAAAUUCUACAUGAUUAAAAGAUUUCUCUCAGGAAGAUAAUUCAUGGACAAUAUAAGCGACACUGCAUAACUGCAAUAAUAUAAGACAAGACUAAGCAUACUGUGCAAUAAAGAAACUUGUAAGUAACCACAUCUCUUCAAUCAAAGAAUACCUAUUCAAAAGUUAUUAAAUAAGCUCAGGAUUGUGUUCUUACAAUUUAAAAGUAGUCAAAAAUUGAAGAGAAGAGAGAAGCAGAAAAGCGACGGGGCUCAAACUGGCGCACAAUUCUCUUAUAAGCAGGGGCGCUAAUAUUUCCUCUUGCGAAUCUUGAAGGUUGAUGAUCUAAUAACAUCAUCGUCGGCCUUGAGCCGGGUCUCAAGAACAAUGAUGGAUUCCGGCUUGGUGAAAAAGGUGAAUAAGAUGUAUAUACCGUCUAAGUAGGUGUUGGUUUCACCUGCCUUGUUCUUUUUCUUGAUGCUGUAUGCAAGAGGGAUGACUCCGCGGUUGAACACCUCCACGUACAUGCCACCCCCCGCCACAAGCAACUGCAAACAGAGCAGAAACUAACAUGACUCAUUUGCCCGCAAUAUAUGUACAUUCAUCUAGAGGAAUGUAAGGGAAACGAGAAAAGUACUGCACAAAAAAGGUUGAUAAUCUAUCAACAACAUCAGCAAGCUUGAAUUGGAUAUGAAUGGGUAAAUGCAAGAGACUUCACAAUUCACAGCAAUAUCAAACAAGGAAACACUGAUAUUGCCUUGCCAACCAAAUGCAACCUUACUACUACUCCAUCUAGACAUAUGAGCAGAAUAUAACAAAUAAACACAAUUCACAAAAAGAAAAUGAAAAGUAAAUAUGCAACCGUAUUUGCAUGACAAACCCCAUCAACAAAGAAAAAAUACUGAAAGUUACACAACUAGAGCUGUGAAGGAAUUAAAUUCAAGAAGUGCAACCGAGUUUUGGUCAUCUGAACAAUGAAGAGCUAAUCAGCACAUAGAAUCAACCGAUUCUACAAUUCUGAAGCAAACUUUAGCAAGUCUGCCAUCUAACAAUUUGAAUAGCCAAAGUAGACAUCAUCAUGUAUUCAAUAGACAUUUUCUAUAAAGAGGAGAGAUUGAUCGAUAGUUAGCAGAUGAGAGAUGAGAUGAGAGGAGAGAAGAGAGAGAUAAUUGCAAUCAAUUUAUGCCAUUCCUUCACGGCAAAAUCUAAAUAUUAUUGCAGCAAGAUAAAUUUAAGUCCAUGACAGCCAUCAUUUUGGCUUGUAACAGAGAAUCACUGAAAUUAAACCAAUUUUGAACCUCCAAAUUCAUUUAGGAGAUUAUGAUAGGAAAAAAUCAAUGAUGGUGCACUUCUAAUCAUCUGAUAAAGCCUUGAGCACGAGAGGACAAAAUGAGGACAUGGGAAAAAAAUAAUUACAAUGAAAGGUUCCGCAUCGUGCACUGUAACAUCUAAAAAGCUUGACACGAGAGGACAGAAUGAUGGACAUGGGAAAAAAUGAAUACAAUGAAAGGUUCAGUAUUAACAAUAAGAUAUCACCUUAGCACUUGUGAACAUCAAGAUGAGAAAUUUCACGAAAAAGAUUUAUAAGUGGCCUACAUUAUUCACAAUUCACACACCAUGCACAUUUAAUCUCGUUCGCCAGCUGCAGAAAAGCAUUUAGAAUAAUAGCAGGAGUAAAAACCCAUAUAUCCUAGCUGUUCUUCCACUAAAUCCGAAACAAAUUAUACGAGUGGGCAUUCAAUAUUAACAUUAACAGGGAAGGCCCCCUUCAUUUUCAAACAAAAAAAGAAAAAAGAAAAGAGUUGGAAAAUCUAUUGUGGUUUAGCUAGCCUUGCAAGGAUAGAUUUAACUUUGUGAUGAAACCCCACUCAAUCAUCUUACCAUUCAAGUUUUAAUGACUGACCGUUGUCCAUCAGGAAACUACUCAGGGCAUUAAUAAAGAAUUAACCUUACUUCAUUUGGCCAUAUUUUAACAAGCAAAACAUUGUUGGUUCUACCAAUUUACAUAUCUGACAUAUGAAAAGAUACAGAAAACUUAAGUAACGAUGGUUUUCUUUCCUAGAAUGCCCUCUCAAGGCAAGUUGAUCGUACAAAAGUAUUGUUAGAAUGUCUUUUCACAUGCUUACUUUGAAAGAACGUAUGCAAUUAGUACAAUAUAUGUACUACAGGUUUCCAGAGACCAUUGAUACAGAAACCUUCGGAAAAACCAAAAUCAUCUGAAAUAUAUGAAAACAUAUCAUUUACACAUAAAAUCAAUAAAACACAACUAAAAAGUCAAAUCUAUGGAAAAAUAUACUCGCCUCUUGCAUCUGAACUCCAGGAGCAUUGCUGUAUGCACGUAGACUUUCCAGAACUUGCACUUUGAUUGAACUUAGAUAUGUCUUGCUAUUCAAAUUUUUCCUGCUCAUUAUUAAAUGAACAUAUAAAAGAUGUGAAAGAUCGAUUAUAUGGCAUGCUCAAACAACAAAAAAAAUAUUUGAAUAACAUGCUAAACAAUCACUGUAACUUCAAUCUUGCAUCUUAUCAUAAGAGUUUAGAAUUCUGUAUUGCCAUAUCAUAUCGUGCUAUAUCCAUAUCCGUAUCAUAUUUAUUCCAAUCUACCAUAAAAAUUUCUACGACAGAAAAAUCGUCAUAUUGGCAAGGAGAUCUAGAAGGAAUGUUCAUUACCAUAUUUGGCAUUCUGGAAUCUUUAGAGAAUAAUCCGGGAAAAAUAUUCGCUAUAACUCAUUCUCUGGAAUUUCUGCAAAAGAAAUGUCUUUAGUUGCAAAUAAGAUGGCCGGUUUUGGAAGAUGAAUAAAAAAUAACUGCAGUAAAUAUCCUUGGAAUAAGGCCCAUGCUAACUGCUGGACCUAGCGCUAUAUAAAAGUGAAUCGCCCAUUAAAAAUUUAUUGAACCAAACAAGAAUAUAUAAAGAAGCCCUACAGAGUCUUAGUUCAAUAAUCUGAUCGAUAGCACGCUGCUAUUGCAACUCUUGCUACAUAUGUACUCUGUUUUGCGGUUUCCGUGAAACUAUAGUUUCAAGACACCAAAUGUUGUAAACAGUACUAGGUUUAGUUAGACGGUUGAGAUUCUAGCAUCUAUUAGAUGAAAAUUAUAGUAAAAUAUAAUUUGAUUUCCACCACCAGUCUCAUCUCCCGACAUCUUCAGUUACAUUAGGAUAAGAAAGAAUCACGCCAGUACCAUCAAGGCAGAUUGACUCAAUACUAACUAACUAAAUCAAGGAUCCUAAAUGGACGACAUAGCCAUGCUUAUACAUGUCUAUCUUUAAAUGAUAUAAACCUCUACCAUGCUAAACAACAGCAACGCUUGAUACAUAUUUCUGCAAAUGCUUCUUGUAAACUGGCACUAAAAAUCAUAAAGUGUUCUUCACUUAAACUUCUAGAGUAAUUCUAUGAUUCACAAACAGUAACUACAUAAAGACGAGAUCCAAAACUUGAUGAAAGGCUCAAUACAACACGAACAAACCAUUUGAAAGUCGGUGUCUAAGAGAACCCAGUUCAAACCGUCCAACAGCGAGCACAUUUUCUUUGGUGUAUCCCACCACCCCAGUUACCUGUCAAGAUAGAAAACAUUUGAUUCCUGAAUUAUACUAUAACAAGAAAAAAUGUUGAUUUUCCACACAUACCAAUAGAGCAAGUUAAAUUCUUCACGAACUUCACACAUUCAGAGUGCCCUGUUGGGGAAAAAAAAUAUACUGAGUGAAGAUCCAAUCAGAUCCCAUUAAAGGGGAAAAAAUAUGCAUAAACUAUAAGGAUCGGAUUACUAUAAACUGAUUUAAAUACCAGAAAGUGGCUUCUUAGUAAAACAUCAUAUCUAUGAGCUAGAUUCUGUUACUGAUUCUUGAAGAUCAAGAGAAAACUUAUUUCAAAAAUACUUCCAAAAAAAAGAAAGAAUAUUAAGCAUGCACGAAAGUCAGUACUUCAAUGAGAGAUUGAAACACCUAAGCGAUCACCAGCCAAUGAAUCAGCUCACAUUGAAGAACAAUAACACGGUAGAUAUGUUUUCAACAACCUUAGUCAAUUUAUCUAAGCUAAGUAAAUGCAGCAAGGAAACAAGUAAAAUCGAACUAUGAUGUAUAAAUAUCAACAACUGCAGUGUACAAAGGCCAAUAACUCACCGUUUUAAAAAGUCGAGUAAAUAGCCAUCGUCAAUUCCAUCCUCUGAGAGGGACAUUGAUGGCGUAAUACUUUCCUUCCCUUUCACGCUAUGUCCUUUUAACGAAGGGGAAGAUUAUCAUCUCACUAUCAUAAGAAACAUUGAAAGAACAAAAUAGAGGACCUCCCACUGAACUAGGUUAGAGAGACAANNNNNNNNNNNNNNNNNNNNNNNNNNNNNNNNNNNNNNNNNNNNNNNNNNNNUCCAGAAAAUAGCAAAAAAAAGAAAAAGAAAAAGAAAAAAAACGACGGCCUUGUAUAAUCAGUUAAAUACAGAACGAUAAUUUGAAGCUUGACAGUUCAAAAUUGUAGAUGCCCAUUGGCAGCUAAACAGGAAAUGCAUUGUUAAAGCCCGUCAAAACCACACUUAAGUUCUCCAGUUGUAGAAACAACUCCUGAAGUUUGCUUCCCUUCUUGGAAAACCCCGCCAAACACAAUGAGGAAAUCAUGUGGAGGGUCCAAUAAACACCAUUUUGCAAAAUUUGAGCAGUUGUAGCGAGGGCACAAGAUCCUAGUUGGCCAUACAUCUUUCAAACAUUCUUGGUCCUUUCACUCUCGCAUUACUGAAUCUUGAGCUAAUUCGUCACUGGGUUCCCAGAAGAAUUUUUAUUUUAUACAUUUCUAUCCAAAGGUAAUGUGAUGCAACAUUCUUAUAUCUAUCGAAGCGUUUGAUCAACCAAAAAUCUAAAGCCUUUUAAUGCUAAAACACGUCUACACAGUUUUUCAACUGCCGUGAGUAGAUGGUUCUAACAACAGAGGAAAACUUGAAUAAGGAAAAAGUAGAACACUUAAAAUCGAGAGAUCACCCUCUUCGUAUCGUUGGAUAGGGGCGAGACGCGUCGCUCGUUCAUGUCGGGGCGGAGCAGCCAUGACUCGUAGGCUGGCGAACCGGGGGGCACUGCGGCUCUCCUUGUCCUCCCAUAACAGCCGCCGCCGACCGCGGCCGAAGCCCGACGAGCGCUCUGUCGCCUCCUCGUCCCCUCAUGAAAGAAUGACGCCGUGAAGUCACGAGGUUAGGGCACGACGGAGGGGGCGACGCGCGCCCAUUGGGCUCGCGCUCGGGCGAGGAUGCGGCGGGAGCGGAGGAAAGGAGAUCGAGGGAAGAGCGAGCGGAACCUCUAGGGAAGGAAGAGGCGAGGGUGUCGAGGAGGAAGAGAGAGCGACGAAGCAUGGUCCUCUUCCUUGCGCGCGGGGAAUAGCAGAUCAAGGGGAGGGGCGUGCGGGAGAGAAUGACAGAGGAGUGUGUCGCGACAGAGGGAUAAGGGGUGGACUCGUCACGUGGCAGAUGGAUGACGGCGUGCUUAUCCAGUUUUUCCGCGGUGUACACUGGAUGACUAACGGUAAGUAUGGGAGCGGAUCGAACUGAUUAGAAAACUAUAAAUAAACCGACGGACCGGAAAACCAGACCAGACCGACCCUUGUGCAGCAGAGUCGUGCGUCGCAAAGGCCGUUGUCGCCUAUUCUAGCCGCUCUUCCGUUGCUUCAACUGGCUCCCCGACGAACGACCGCGCUUCUCUUCUCCGCCGCUAUUUCUUACGCCCUGUCCCCCUCCACAUCUCCUAAUCCUAGCGACGACGCUUCUCUGCUGCGAAUCCGAGUAGCUCUUCGCAAUAGCAAGGGGAAGAUGGAAGAGUGGUCGCUCGCUCCGCGCUCUUCGAGGAAGCAAGAAGAAUCCAUUCCGUCUUUCGAUCCUCUGUGGAUCAGGUAUCUCGAAUAUAUCCCUCGCUUCCUAUACCAAUCCCCGCCGUAUCGCAAGUGGAAUUCAUCGAGUACAUCAGCAACUGUGGUUGAGUGUUUUAAUUUCUUUCUUCAAAAAUUGCAUUGUAAUAGGAGACCACGCUGAGGAAGGGAAUCGGAGGGCCCGUGCAACGCUGCGACGAGAUUGGGAGCAAGCUGGGGCUCUUCUCGCUCAACGAGACCAAGGACGACGUCAGCCACCGCCACCGCUUCAGUAUCUCCUCGUAAGCUUUUCUGCUUCAUCUUCUCCGAUGAUUGCUCAAUCGCGCACAACGUUUUUAAUUUACCAAAAGGCACCUAUGGCUUAAUCCCUAUAUACAUGCUGUAACAGUCAGUCCAAGACUUCUGUUUACAAAAUUUCAGUCAAUUGAUAUGAAGGAGCUUAGUAUUAGUACAAUCAAAGCCAUAGACAUAAGCUGGAGGUUAGUCGUCCCAACUUAGAAAUCACCUGAUUGUAUAGUUGAAAAUUGCGACAAAUAAAGUAAUGCAUGUGGAAACGAUGUCGCAGUAUCGGCACUAAUCAUCCUCCUUAAUGAGUGCAUAUGUAUUGUCUUUUAGUCACACUUUUAGCUAGCAGAAGUCUUAAAUGCGUUUGUUUGGGUAGUCGUCAACUACAUGUCUCACGUCUUUCAGGUGCAAUUACAAUAUACAAAAUCUUCAUAAAGAUUUUGACUUGAAAUUUCCAAAGAACAAUUAAUAUGACAAAAACACCACAUUUACACCAGAACAAAUUACAAAGGGAAAACCAAACUAGAACAGUAAAUAUAGCAUGAGUUCACUAAACCAACAAUCUGCCAAAAAACGAUUACCUUAACAUUGCCUGUUCCAGGGAAGAACAUAUCUCCGUACUUGUGAAAACUUACGGUCAUCACCCUAUUAAUAUAUGCAGUAAAAUUUCAAUUUUAUGCCCAGUUGUACAAAUUCAUUAAAAGCAACCUGCUUUUUUUUUCUUAACUAAAAAGCUUUAAAUAAAAACAAGCUGUCAAGAAUUAUAAACUUACAACAACAGAAUGACAUUUUACAUAAAUGUCUGAACUUUUCAAAUCAGACCAGCACUAACCUGUCUGUGAAAUAAAAAGCUUCUUCAACUCCAUCUCCAUGAUGAACAUCUAUAUCAAUGUAGAGAACUCUUGCAUGGUACUUUAGAAGCUCCAAAAUGCCCAGGACCAAGUCAUUGAUAUAGCAAAAGCCAGAUGCCUCACACUUCUUAGCAUGGUGUAAACCACCAGCCCAGUUUAUAGCAAUGUCACAGAGUUGAUGAUUCAAUCUUCGGGCAGCAUCUACGAGAAUGGAUAAAAAGAGAGAGACAACCUAGAUGCAAUAAAUAAGGUAUGAGAUCGACUUAAAGUACCUAUUGUGCCACCAGCAUAAAUUUGACAGAACUCGAACAAGUUCUCGAAAACAGGGCAGUCUUCCCCAAGAUUAUCUGGAAAGAACAUUUAAUGACAUAACUAAAUUAAGUAUGAAACAAGUGAACCAAAAGCAAAUGGUAUCAAAAAUAUACAAACAUCUUUUAACAUGGAAUGCAGAAGAUACAUUGAUGGAACGAAAGGAAAAGAAGACACUGUUUAGCAACAAGAUUUCUGAAAUUGAAACAGAACUCAUACUAUCAGAAUAGGCAAAUAAGAUAAACUUCGAGCCAAAGACAUACAUAACUGAUUUACAAACUCAAUAGAAUAUAUUGUUAGUUUGAUUUUUGUAAAUUAAGCACAAUAGAGAGAUAACAUUCUCACAAUAGAGAGAUACAUUCUACGAUGUUCAUUUCGAGGGUAUUCUAUGCUGUCACCGACUUAAGAAUUGCCAAAAAAAAUCUUGAAGCAAUAAUCAAGAAAAAAAGGGGAAAGGAACACAUUAUUGUACGCACAUCUAGCAAGUUCAUUUGCAAAUAGGUGUUGUGAGUCAGGAGUUAUCCGGUGCAAGAAUUCCACAUAAUCUGCUGAAUGGAACUGCGCAAGUUCCACCGGAUAUGCCUUGUGAGGCCGCUGCACAUGCAAGUAAGGUAUGCCAAAAAAUAGCCAAGCAUUAAAUUUUAAGGCAGCAAAAACCAUGGACAAGCUUAACAAACUGCAAGAAAAAACCUAAGACUAACAUAAAUCUCCAUCUUGUUAUGAAGUCCAUACGAAAGCACAAGAUGAUGUGUCAUACACAAACGAUGCGGUUUCAUUGGGUGAUUGGGUCCAAAGUAGACGUUACCCACAUCUCCUGCAAAAGCAACAGCACGAAAGGAAUUCAUAUAUACAGAAUAUGUUUGAAAAUAUCAACAAAAAUGAAAAUGCACGAUGCCAUACAGCUACAAGUCCAUAUAAUUUGUGAUUGAGCAUGUAUUGGUAAAUUUAACAGUUCUAACUGGGAACGAGAACCGUUUAAUUAAGCAUCUAAAACUACGAAUUAUAAUUAAAAGAAAGAAGGAAAGAGAAGUGAUCUCUAGCAACAAUGACAGGAUCUACGGGCUCUCUCCCACUUCCUAACUCUACCACUCUCCGCUCAGCUCCAUAAGAAGCGAUUCAGCAGUGGCAUAGACAAUAAAGCGACCCGUGCUUUGGGAAUCGAACACAGAAGUAAGCAUGAAUCGCGCUAGGGUUUUAUCUCAUCGAAGAGAAAGGGAAAAGGAUCGUUCCAGGAGGGGCUGAGAUUAGUAGCUUGAUCGGAAGAGAACGAGAGGUAUUGGCUUACCGUCGUAGAAAUAGGCUAUUCUUUCUUUGGGCGGCAUCGUGAGGUAGGGGAGGAGCUACGAGAGUAUCGCCAUGGAAGAGAAGCUUGCGAGCUUUGCUCGAGGGGAAAGAGGAGGGCGCGGAAAAGCGGAUACCUACCCUCGGCCUCCGAAGGGUUUUUAUUUUGCCUGCUAACUUUGGAACUUUAUAGUCCCUAAACAUUUUUUUCCCUAAACAAUUUUUUUUUGUGAAAUUUUAUUUUAACAUAAUAUUACCGACCCUAACACAAAUGAUAAACAACUUAUCAGUUGAUAUUCGAAAUUUUAAAUUUUAAAUUUAUAUUUUUAGUUAAAAAUUAAAUAUUUGACAUAAAUAUUUACCAAAAUUUUUAAUUUUUUAAUUUUUUUAAUUUGUACUUUAAUUUUAAUUUUUACUUUUGUUAAUAUUUAAAUGUGGUCGUGGCUCGUGACCCGUGACCCGUGACCCGUGACCCGUGAGAGAGGUUCUAUGGCCACUGUGUGCAAGCGGAUCGGUCCGAUCCGGAAUCGAAGUAUCUUCGCCCGCUAAAAAUGCAUUAAAAUACUGAAAAAGUAAGGGAGCGUAACAUGCGAAAACCACAACCAUGGUGUUCGGGAAAGUUCCACAGCCUGUAGGCGCCAGGUAAGUAUAUAGGCGAGAGAGAGAGAGAGGAUCGAGCGAAUCCAAAAAGAAGAAGAAGAAGAAGAGAUCUCCGGAGUCGCUCUCUUCGUCCCCUUUUCCCCUCUGGCAAGCGCAUGGACGAGAUCGGCGAGGCAUCCUCCUCCUCCUUCCGAGCUCCGCCGCCGCCCGAUCCGGAUCGGACGGUGAUCUGCAUCGGCGACAUCCACGGAUUAUUCUCGAAGCUCCGGCGCCUGUGGGCGAACCUCGAGGCCGCGGUGGGCGGCGCCGCCUUCGAGACGGCGCUCGUCGUCUUCCUCGGCGACUACUGCGACCGCGGGCCCGAGACGCGGGAGGUGCUGGAAUUCCUCGUCUCCCUCCCCGCCCGCUACCCGCGGCAGCGCCACGUGUACCUCUGCGGCAACCACGACCUCGCCUUCGCCGCCUUCGUCGGCGCCCUCCCCCCGCCCCCCGACGGGUCGCCGUUCUCCGCCACGUGGGAGGAGUACGUGGCGAGCGAGGCGCACGAGGGCUGGUUCACGGGGGAAGGGUACGAGGCCAUGCACGUCCAGGGCCGGCGCUGGGGGGGCUCAAUCAGGGAACGCUUCAACCCUAAGAAGAACAUGCCCUACAAGGGCUCCAUCUACGACGCCGCCCCUACCUUCGAGUCCUACGGCGUCCCCCAUGGAUCCGCCGGUGCGCCAGCUCAAAUCCCCUUUCUCAUCCCGACCCUUUGGAAGCGACCCUUUAGCUCCAUGGACAAAAAUCCAUUAUAAUUUUUGUUCCUGAUUUUCGUCAUAAAUAAAUUGUAAUUAAGUUUGGGAUUCUGAUCGCUAUGUUUUCGUUUCAGAGCUGGCAAAAGCGGUACCCGACGAUCAUAAGAAGUUCCUGCACGACCUGGUUUGGGUUCACGAGGAGGUAUCGCCGUGCUACGUACUCGAUCGCCUCGCAAUUUUAUUGAUUUUUUUGUGUCUUAUAUAUUGAAAGAAGAUGGAGCCAUUUCUUCUUUUCUCUUCUUUUUUUUUCCCAUUGAUGGAUAACUGUUGCAGGAAAAUGUGCCGGUUGAUACUGAUGAAGGAAGGAUCUGCUGCAAAUUGAUAGCCGUUCACGCUGGCUUACUGAAAUCGAAGGGGGUAGAUGAGCGGCUGAAACUUUUGAGAGCCAGGGAUACAAGACUGCCGAAGGUCCAAGAGCUUAGCGGGAGGCAGGAUGUGUGGGAAAUUCCAAAGGUAAUGCGGCGUUCUGUGUUUCAAUCCCCCUUCUCUUAAAACAUCAAAAACUUUGAUUGUUCGGGGAAUUCUGAGAUCCUACAAAAUGAUAGGUAGUGGGCAGAUUGGCACAGCACUAUUAGAGGGGUGAACAUGUUUGAGUGUUUUUUGUUAUGUAGAAAUCACUCGAGCAGCGACGAAUAGUGUAUUUUGUAGGCAGUUUUAACAACCAAUCACAUGCUUGGUUGCCCAGUAUGUGGCAAAGGUGCUGAUUCUUCACUGUAGGAAAAUGCAAAACAUUGACUGGCAGAAGACAAUCCAAAAGUAAUUCUUGAAAAAUAAUAAUAAUAAUAAUAAUAACCCAUGGGUCUAAUGUUUAGUUUGCUGAGGUUUUUCCUUUUAGUUCACUUGGUCGUGAUUGGAUGCGUCUAGGGCCUACACUUCUUCAUAACUCAGCUAAUAAGACUACAACGCUUUAACUCGUCAGCAUGGAGUCAGGUAGCUGCAUAAUUUAUCAGGUUUUUCAGGAAUAAAUUAUCUUCAAUAUGGUCAUUCACCAAAUGUGGGAGGAUUAACACUAGACAAAUGAAGCUGGGCCACAAUAGUUAAGUGAGAAGGUAGCUUGCCUAAAUCCAUAAUUUGGACAUGCAAUAGAGCAUUUUAAGGGGAAGAUGGACGCAAUGCAAUGCGAGUUGCAAUGGAAGAUUGAAGAACUUAUAUAUCAAUCUGCAACAUCAAAUAGGUAUAUUUGAAUAUUUAUCUUUAUUCUACUUUGCAUUUUGCAUCAGCAUCCACUAUGAUAGAGUCCUAGUCCAAUUAAUUUGGAAAGUUUAAAAGGCGAGGUGGGUAUGAAAUGCCUUAUUUUCUGGUCAUAGCUACUAAAUUUUUUUUUUUUUGAAGAAAGGUACAUGCUACCGCUUCAUUCAGUAAGAAAGUGAAUUAAGCUACAUGGGUGAGACAGCGAGGCCUCGGCGAGAAAUGGAUCGAUCAGAAAAAAAAAAAAAAAAAAAAAAAAAAAAGGUCAGUCAGGGGCAAGAGUCUUCCACUGUUCCAUCAGUUGUUUGAUCUUGUAUACACCUACUGUUGGGUCAGUCUGGGGUGACUUGAAGAUCGCUCUAUUCCGAAGAUCCCAGGUAACCCACCAGCCAGCUAUAAGUCCUAAGAGUCGGUCUGUUAAAGACGGAAGGAUUCUAUUUUUUUCUGCCCAUCUAUCCCAAAUCGCCCGCACAUCGUCACCCAAGUCUCCCAGUUGUAAGUUGUCAUUGGUGUUUGCCAUAAGGUAUCUCGUGAUGACACACUGCGAGAACAGGUGGUCAACUGUUUCCUCUUCCAGACCGCACAGCAUGCAUUUCGUAUUACCGAUCCAACCUCUCUUUACCAAAUUAUCGGCUGUAAGCGGUCUCUUCCUUAGGACAAUCCAACAAAAUACCUUCACUUUUAGGGGCAGACGUAAGGACCAGAUCUUACCCAAACGGGCGUCCCGUGUGCCUCCGUCAUGCAGAGUUGAGUAUGUUGACUUCACAGUAAAUAUACCGUUGGUGCUCCAACGCCACUGUACCCUAUCCUGUUCUUGGCUUGUAUGAACAUUGGAAAUCCUGUCCUUGAGGGUUGUAAUCAUGGGAUUCGCACUGGGGUUAGCAGAAAUGUCCUCAGUCAGGAUCAAAUCCCAGCACCAGCCGUUUUCACCCAGGCAUUCAUUAAUUCUGAGGUUUUUACGAGAGGAAAGGUUGAAUAUCUCCGGGAACGCUGCACGUAGCGUUGUUUCCCCACACCACCGGUCCUCCCAGAAGUCAACAGUGCUCCCGUUACCCAGCUUAUAGGCUACUCCCCAUUUGUAGAUUCCCUUAAGACUAAGGACAUCCUUCCACCAGGAGGAAGACGGUCUAAAAGAUCGUCCCUCUUUCAGCGGUUUUCUUCUUCGAUAAAACAUGUCGCGAAUAAGUUUGUUCCAUUGUAGCUGUGGUGCAUUCUGAAAUUUCCACCACCACUUAACAAGUAGGGCUCGGUUCAUCGUACUGAUAUCCAAAAUGCCCAGUCCACCCUCCUUCUUAUCCCUACAGACACACUGCCAAGAAACUAGGCAUCUUAUUCCUUGGGUAUUCAGUCCUCCGGUCCAGAAGAAGUCUCUCCGUAGCGCCUCAAUACUCUUAAUUACCCAUUUAGGAGCCAUGAAGACCGAGAGAUAGUAGAGAGGAACGUUGGAUAGUACUGCAUUUACAAGGAUAAGUCUGCCCCCUCUCGAGAGCAACUUCCCCCGCCACCCGUCAAUUUUACUUUGGAUUUUACGAAUAAUCCCUCUUCAAUCCUCCUUAGACGGGGGUCUGAUCGACAGAGGCAAACCCAGAUACUUGGUAGGUAAGGAACCGACUUUACAUCCAAGCAAAUGUGCGAUCCAACUAGCUCUACCCUCUGUCUGUCCAGUGUAAUAAAUUUCUGAUUUCUCUUUAUUGAUUCGCAAUCCCGAUGCCCAUUCGAAGAGUUGCCAUAUGAACUUGAUGUUUCUGAGACAUCUUUUCUUGGCCUUACAGAAGACAAAAGUGUCGUCGGCAAAUUGGAUGAGGGUAGUUUUGGAUGUCUCUGCGGGACCAAUGCCAGUUAUAAGAUUAUUGUCCAACGCCUCAUUGGUAAGUCUGGCAAGACAUUCCGCCACUAGUAAGAAAAGAAAAGGGGAGAGUGGAUCCCCUUGCCGUACACCCCUCUUCGUCUUAAUCCAAUUGGUGACGUCGUCGUUGAUCAGGACAGCGACCUUAGCGUUGCAAACACAAAGUUUAAUCCAGUUGCACCAUUUUUCGUCGAAACCCCACCAGUGUAAACAGCGAAAGAGAAAAGGCCAAUAAAUUUUGUCGUACGCCUUUUCAAAGUCUACCUUUAUGCCAACUCCCUCUGCCCCUGCCCUACUACCCCAAGCUAAGAGCUCCCUAACCGUCACAAAUGCAUCGGUAAUGUUUCUCCCCUUCAGAAAGGCCGAUUGAGUAGGGGAUACAAGAUCGCUCAUCACGAGCUCCAAGCGGUUAGCUAGAACCUUAGAUAUGAUCUUUUGGAUCCCGUUUAGUAAACUUAUGGGUCUGAAUUCGCUCACACGUUUGGCUCCUUCCUUCUUAGGGAUUAGGCAGAUAAAGGCGUAGUCAAUGGGGCCGGUAGACAGCUUCUCCUCAAACAUUUCGAGGAAUAUGUUCAACAGGUCACCUUGGAUUGCGUCCCAGAAAGUUUGAUAGAAACUCAGUGGGAAACCGUCUGGGCCCGGCGCCCUAUCUUUCCCCAAUUGGAACACGGCUUGCUUGAUCUCAUCGGUACUAAAUGGCCCUGAAAGAAGAGAUAGGGUGUCAGAGUUUAUGCGUCUGGAUCUGAAAAGGUUGCUCCAGUCCCCAAACGAAGUUGGAGCCGAAUCUUCCGGCGUGAAAAGCUCCCGGAACUUCUCGAAUAAGAGGUGCUUCUUGUCCCCUUCAGAGCGGUACACUGUUUCGUCCUCUUCCAGUGUGUCAAUCCUGUUCGUUCUCCUCCUGCCGUUCGCUAUUGCGUGAAAGAAUUUAGUAUUGCUAUCUCCUUCUUUAAGCCAGUGUUGUUUAGCUCUCGUCCUCCACAGCGCUUCUUCGUCUUUGAGUACCCGUAGCAAAUUAGCCUUCAGUUCUUCCCUACGCUCAAUAGCUUCCGUGACUAAAUCGCCCUUCUCCUCGUCGUUAUCGAUACCCUGGAUUUCCUCCAUUAACUUAGAUUUAUGUCCCUUAAUACUAUAAAACUCGUUAUUGCACCACUCUUUGAUCCUCGUUCUACAGUGCCUCAAUCUCGCUGUGAAAGUUAGUACAGCUGUUUGUUUCACUGGCCCCUCUCGCCACCAACCAGGCAGUUUGGCAACAAAAUCAUCAUGGAGUAGCCAAGCGGCUUCGAACCUAAAAGUCUUCUUCACUCUGGGGGUGGCUUUCUCGAUUGAGAGAAGGAUGGGACAGUGGUCCGAAGUCACUCUGGGAAGACCGGUGACCUUCGAAAGGGGAAAAGCCUGGUCCCAUUCCGUCGAGACUAGGAAACGAUCCAAUUUAGCAAGCGAAGGCUCCCGCUGCAUAUUGGACCAAGUAAAAGAUUGGUUAGACAUGGGAAGAUCAAGAAGUUCCAUGUCCAUAAUAAGCUUGUUAAAUAACUCUGUUGCUCGCGAACUCCAAUUCUUUCCACGCCGCUCUUCCUGGCUCCUCGUGCUAUUAAAAUCUCCACAUAAUAUCCACUUCCCUUGACAGCACCCUUUCAGUUGCAGCAGCUCCAAGUAGAAGUCCUCCUUUCCGUCCCAAGUGGCCGGUCCAUAAACAUUUGUCACAAAGAGUCUAGUACCGUUGCUAAGCAUGGUUACCUGAAUCGUAAUGGAGUAACGACGAACAAUAACUUCAUGACAGGAGAAAAUGCGGGAGCUCCAGCAAGUGAUCAAACCCCCAGAAGCUCCGGUGGCUUCGACAAAAACGCAUUUGUCCAGAAAAGACCCGGCGAAGCUACGAAGGAAGGACCCCGAAACUAGACUAACUUUUGAUUCUUGAAGACACACUAUAACAUUACGAACCUUAGAAAUUACAUCCUUAACCGCAAAACGUUUAGAUGGGUCAUUAAGCCCUCUAACAUUCCAACAUAAGACCCUAAACAUAGUAAAUAACAUAAACCACCCCCCCAAGGAAGCCCCAAAAGGUGAUCAGUACCUACACCGCACGACCUACUUAAACAUGUUCUUUCACAAACUCGGCGAACUGAGUAGCCUCGACACCAUCCAGGAUCACUCCGCACCGGCGGCUUUUCCGAAUGAUCUUCCGCAAAGUAGGCUCUGGCUCUGCCACUAAGUCGGAUCCGCCGCCCCGCAAUCUGGCCUUCCUGGAGAUUGCUUUGGAGAGGAUGGUAGUCUUCUCCCCGCUUGCUAGACGUGCACUGGCUCGCAAUCCGUCGCCGAUCCCCUGUAUCGCUCUAACAACAUUGACGUAAUCGCCCGCCGCCGCGUCUCCGAUCGAGUCCUGGCUGCAACUGUCGCCGUAGCAGGGGGUUACAUCAUCCCUAACAGGCGUCUGGGCACCCACAUCAUACUCUGUAUUUCUAUAGCAAACCCCAUCCCUUGCAACCUGUAUCACAGCCUUGACUUCGAGACUUAUCGUGAAAGAGCACAACUGUUCGCCUAACAGGCUACCAAUACGAAGCUCCCCGUCUCGCAGCAUCGACCCAGCAGUAAUCAGAGGCGGGAUCCUAUUAGCCAUGGGGUUGAAAAGUCCCUCACCCAAGCCAAUAAGGGUGGUCCAGUUGAGGUACGGUAACUGGGCCCUCAUCGGCGGUCCAAAAAGAGCUACAGGUGCACCCCCAUGCUCAAUUAAUAGCAGGUGAUACCCACAACGUUUCAUAGAAAAAAGCCGUGCUUUUUUAAAGCAAGGCAGAACGGAUUUGUCAACUCCCGAGGUUUGACCAAGCCCAAUAAAUGCCCCACAAGUCACCACCCUCGAUGACACCUUGGGCACCUUGGGCGAGCGGCGUUGGUCUCGAGGCGGAUCAAUUGGCGAUUGCGAAGGACAGGGGGCUUUUGAACUGGGGACAAGAUGGCGUUGCGCCGUCUGCGCCAACGACACGCCCGCAACCUUGCCAGAGCAAACCUCGGAUUUCGGGGUAGCUUCAUCGUAACCCGAGUCCGACCGUUGCUCCAAUCGGCCCGCUCUCCUCCUACCUGUCGCCGUGCUCCAGCCCCUUCCGUUCGCCGGUCGAUUUGCCGUUCCCUCCGAUGCUGGCGGUAGCGACAAGGCCCUCAGAUCCCGAUUCAUCGGACUCGCAGAUCCGGCGUGAUCGAGUUCCCCGGUCCCUUCUCCCAUCUCCUCGUCGGUCCCUGCUUGACCAUCGUUGCCCUGGACGCCACCCCGUCUUGCGUCCUGAUCUUGAAUCCCGUUGUCUGGUCCAUCUCUAGGCGGUGCCGGUGGCUCGCCUCCGUUGCCGUCCGCCUCCCGCUCCCAACUCUCCAGGUGUAACAUCACAGAGAAGAUCUCCUCCCCCAGCACGAUAGAUAGGUUCUGCGGAAUUUCUCGAAGCGAGUCGAGAGAGAUCUGGCACCUGAAAGCGCGGAGAUCAGUCAUCGCUUUGGUGGUCUCGUCGGCCUUGACAAACCGUCCGAACCCUCCCACCAGUGCGGCGACACGAGCGACCGUCCAGCAUUCGAACGGUAAAUUGAUAAGUCGUAUCCAAGCCCUGAAGCUGGCUCUAUGUGGUCUCGCAUUACGGUAAUGUCCCCACUGAUAACAUCUGAUCCAGAAGCCAUCGAGUGUGAGGACCUCCCGCCGGGCAAGUACCUCCGCGGAAACCCAUUCCGGGAGGAAGAUAGCGUAAUCCCGAUCGCGGUAUCGAGCAACCGCAAAAUCCUGCCUGUAGCCUCCAAAACGUCGGGCCAUCGCACUUGCGAUGGUACGUAUGGGAUCUGGUCCCAAAUUAGCUGGCGGGAUGACGUCCGCCAGCACCGCAUUCCGGCGUAACUCCUUCCUUCUCAAAUACUCCUCUGUGUAAGGUACGUAAACCUUCGGGGCUCGCUCGCGUUGCCGAAAAGCCCUAUUCAUAUUGGCUCUCUCCCGCAGAUCAGACUUCUUGCAGUCGAUAACUCGGUGGCCGGACCUACGACACCGUAAGCACCUAACCGGAUCUCGACACUCCGCAAUCUGGUGAUCUGAAGCCAAGCACCUGAAACACCUUGGGCUGCUUCUCAGCUUGGUCCCCUUAGAGCUUCGAGAGACUCUGUAUGGCCGAGUGAGGGGUGGAACCUUAGUAUGAUGAGUGCUGAGGCCCCUCAACAAAGCCUCCUUAUAAGGGCAAGCCACUGUAAAUGCAGAGUUACUCCCCUCACCCUCCCCCCUGCCGCUACCCUUCGUGUCAAAUCUCUGGAUAGAUACGCUCUUCUUCCCUCGCGGCGAAACGGUAAUAAAACCUCUCUCUUCGUCUCGAGCCCUUCCCUCAAUCUCGUCAUGAACCUCGCUGAACGACAGUAAUGAUCCACCAACUUCGUCUGCCCAAGCCACCCUUUUUACCACCCUCUUCAAACGCGAGUCGUCCUUGGAGGUGGCGCAACGAUAAAUCAGGGUGGGAGAUGCCUUGCUCUUCCCUGUCGAGUCAUGAACUCUGACAGCGUCGUCAACAACCAGUUGGGAUGGUAGUAAAGAUGAGAUCCCCUUACUCCCACUCCCUCUCCCUGUUCCUCGGCUCCCUACUCUCCCUCUCCCAGAUCCACUCCCACUCCCUCUCCCUGUCGCGCUCAUCCUGUUUGCCAAUAUUAUUCUAUGAUUUGAGAAUAUUUUUCCGGAACCGCACUGUUGACUACGAAUUUAGUUGUUGGUACUUGAGACUUCAAGUUCAAAACUAAUUAUUUCGCAAUUUAGCUGAGAUCUUUUUUAAAAAAAUAAGCGAAACGGUUAUAUAGCUUGCUAUCUUUUUCAUAAUAAUAAUAAUUAACUC